rnacentral:lncRNA from 1 species
GAUUUAGAUAGCCUCACAAGUUUCUGCUCUGCCAAUUACACCUUCAGAUUCCCAUCUUUGGAAUAUCUGGAAGUGAUUGGUUGUCCCAAGAUGAAGAUUUUUGCUACAGGAGAAUCAAUCACGCCUCCAAGAGUAAAUGUCUGGUAUGGAGAGACAGAGGAUCGAUGGCUUUGGACCAAUAAUGAUCUAAACACAACCAUACAACAAUUACACGCUGAAAAGGUACGGAUAUACAUAGUACUCUCUAUCUCCCAUGGAAACAUUUUACAAAAUUUUUUUUUUUAAUAAAAUAUAGAUAAGAUAGUUGUUAUAAAGUAAAAGUUUAAAUUGAUGAAUAAGAAUUUUAUUUUCAGCUGUUGGCGGUGCCGUCGAUAUUCUCUACCCAGUACUAAUUUCAUAGGCUUCUUAUGACUUGGGAGUUGUGUAUUUUUAGAAGAAAGCCUCAGCUGGUAAUUAAUUUUUAUUUCAUUUAUUUGAUCUCAUGGCUUGUUUCGCAAUUUCAUCUGAAUUAUUUAGAAUGGGUCAAUCGGCUUACUGUUAAAUUUGGAAUGCAAUUUUAAUGAUUCGUUCAGACUUUUGUGGACAGAUUUUGCAUCAUUGAAUGUCUUCUAGUCUAGUUUAAUUUGAGUUUUUUUUCUUUUUUUUGAGAGUUCCCCUUGUUUUCUAAAAUUUUAUAAUUCCUUGCAUACUUUGUAUGAUAAAAUUUCAUUAAAAGCCUUCAUAUUUUAUAAUUCCUUGAAAACAUCAUUGCUGUUCUGUUAUUUUAGUUUGGUUUGCUUCACACCUAUCUUUCUUUGGAAAUUUUUUUUUUUUUUUUUUUGAUGAUCUUUCGAAAUGCUCUUCCCUAUGAACACAUAAUUAAGACCAGCUGAAAAUCAUUCAUCGGAUAAAAAAUUAAAAAUAAACAAAAUCUAAUCAGAGCAUUAUGCCUAGAACAAAUCCUUAAACCAUCAAAGCAAAACUCUUCGCUAUGAAAAAAUAUACUGUGGAAAUAUUGUUUGAAAACGUUGGAUACCAAGAAAGGGACUAAUUUGGUCUAGUUUUAUGAGAAGUAUAGAAGAACGUUGUUUUCUCUGUUUUUCCUGUUAGAACUCUUUACUCUGUGAUUGUAGAAUGUCUGGAUACUGAUGAAGAUUCAAGUAACUCUUCUCCUAUGCAUCAUUUGAAAUAAGGUUUUUUUUUUUGGGGGGGUAAUAUCUCCUACUGGGUUAUAGUUCAUACAAAGAGAUUCUUAAAUCAAGCCGGAUACUGCUAGAAACAAGUGGGGAAGUAGGCACUGAUAAAAUGGUUAAUCCUGUCGAGACUUAAUCAUUGAAGCAACUCCAAACUGGACUCCAUUUUAAAUAUCUUGACAUUCUAAGACUAUUUUACAAGCAUUUAAGUCUAUUCCCAUGAUCAUCUAUAUCUUUUGGGAAUCUAACAGAACUGUUAGUUUUCCAUUGCAAGGAAUUGUAACAUCCGUCCACUACAGCAGAAAGUCUAGUGCGGCUCGUAUCAAUGAAGGUAGCUGGAUGCAGGGCAAUGACAGAGGUGGUAAUAGGUGACGGAGAAGAAGAUGAAGCACCAAAUUUAAAUUCAAAACAAGAGAUUGUUUUCAGAUAAAGAUUCUUGAAAUUGUCCUACUUACUGCUGACAUUUCCACAAGAAGUUAGAGAAUAUAAAAAAUUCAUUAAUCGUUAGUUUUUAAUUUCAUUAUUCAAUGAAAAGCCCUGUCAAAUUAAAUUGCAAAUCUCAAUGUGCAAGUACCUAAAUUUACAAAAUUUACUUUAAAUUAAUGAAUGAAAGAAUUUAUAUUCUGCUGUUGGAGGAGUCGUCAUCUCUCUCGACAUAGUAUACGAUAUGUUUUGAUCCCAUAGGCUUUUUAAUAUAUUACCUUGUGUUGUUUGAUCUCUAGGUUUAUUUUAUCGUUUCAUCUUAUUAUUUGCAAUGCGUCAGUUGGUUUAUUUGUUAAUUUUGGAAUGAAGUUGAUGCAGCUGAUGGUUGCAUAGGAUGAGUAGGAUAUCACUCCUAUAUCAUAACUUGAGCGGGUAUCUAUUCGGCAAGAAAUUCUGUUUAUUUCGUAGUUAUUUUACAAAGUUUAAGUUAUUUUCUUAUUUUUCUUAUUAUUUUCAAUAUUUUUAUAUUUUUUCUCUAAAUAUAAGAUUUUAAGUAUGAUUUAUUUUAUUUUUCUUAUUUCAGUUAGGAGAACGUUAUUAUGUAAUAAUAUUUCAAGUUUGUCUAUUUUGAUAAAUACAUAAUAUUUAGAAUUUGUGUAAAAAGGGUCCAAUACCCUAAUUUUGUUAUUCAAACUUCUAUUAAUAAAAUUUCAGACUUUUUAAAAAAAUUUCUCUAUGUUUUCAAUCUCAACAUCUAUGUUUCCCUUUCAUCAUAAGUUCUAAUGUCUGGUUCUGAGCUAGCUUUAUGUGCAUAUUAGACAUCAUUGAAGGUCUUUUGAUCUGAGUUAUGAUCAAAAAAUUAUGCUCGCUUCUGUCUGGUUGUAUGAAAAUUGUACAAAAUAAUAUUCUUAUAUAAUUUUUAUCCUCCAUUGUUACAGAAUCCCCAAGCUUCGAAUUUGUAAACUUUGAAAGCAUGGCAGAAAACUUAGUACUUAAUAAGGCUCUGGAAUAAGACUCUUUAUGGCUUCAAUAUUUUACUUAACAUGAAAUUUUCUUUCUAGCUAGCAUCAUUGUGAAGAUAAAUUGUGGUAGUUCUGACAAGUACUGCACAAUUAAUGUUACCAGCAAUCAAUUGGCGUGAGCACCAACAACCAUUUUCAUAUUUAAGCCUUUAGAAAAGUAACACAAAAUAUGGCAAGUGGCAACCACAUCAAACAAUCAAAUUGUUGAAAGAUUUUGAAAGCUUUAAUUUGCUUGAUAUAUAUUUGAAUAUUUCAACAGAUGCAUCUUUUCUCCACUCAUGGGGCACGUUGAGUUAGAAACGGUUUGAAUGUCAAUAUUACUCCAAGUGCCUCCACCGAAUUCAGAAUGAAAAAAAUCAUCUGGUUACCUGCACUUUAGUUUAAGCAGCUAACUAAGCUAAUUAGCACCAAGUAAUUCACAAACUAGUGAGAAAUUUCAUUAGUUAAUUAUCAUACCUGUUAUUAUACCAUAAACCAACCAAUUAAUUUAAACUUUGGCACAUACAAAAUUUGAAAAAGCUGAAAGCAUGGAAAUGUACUAAACAAACAAAAGAAAAUAUAUUUACCACUGCUCUAUUUUGCAGAAGGAACAAUCCAGUUAUUGUAGACACCUGAUGUUACAAUUCAGGAAAAGUAAAAAAGAAUUACAGCAAUUCUAAUAAAAAAGACAUAAAAUAAUUUUAUACAUACUUUCUGGUGGAUAAUAUAACCUAAGUAUAUGGAUCAAUGAUUAGGAUAUCCACUUACAGAUAAAACAUUCUUCAUCACAGAAGCACAGUUUAUCAAAAAGGCAAGGCUGAACCCAGAUAGCAUUGCUAUGUAAGUGUAACUUGUCAAAAGCGGUAUCGAUAAAACCUGUACAUACAUAGAAAGUUAUGGGACCAAAACCAUGAAGAAAAGUAUUUUAUAAACAGAUAUGUUUGAAACAAACUAUCAAAUGGUCCAAAUGCCGCAUGAGGUGUUCAAAAUAUUACCCCCUGCAAUUCAUGUUAUGAUUAUUGGCCCAAUAAUCCUCUCGACGUAAGGGUACAGAGUAAGUUGAAAAACAAGGAGAAUGAAACCUAUAGUAAGUUCAAAAUGAGGACAAUCGACAAUCGUCAAGCAGUUUUGUGGGGGUGAUGCAUGCGAAAGCAAGUACAGAAAACAAGUAACAUUUUUAGUUUCGUAAUAAGUUUGGUGCUGAUCGCGCAAUAUUUCACAUGCAUAUGCCUCGUGGUGUAAGAGAAGUUUGAGCACAAAUAUUUACAGGAACUAAAUUGGAAUUAUCAAUAAAUACCCCCAAUCAACACCUUUAUUGGUCCAAGUAAACCAUUCAAUUGAAAGAAAUUGAGAGAAAAUAUUGUUUGGUUGCUGAGAAAAUAUCUCAGAAAAUUUCCAGAGAACUUUCGGAUUUCUUGUAUUUAUUUUUCUUAGAAAGAAAUGUUAUGAUUACAACUUAUUUAUACUCAAAACUCAAGGAUUACUAAAGCUAAUGACUAACUAAUUCAGUAGAAUCUCCACAUGCAUAACCACAGCUCGAUAUACAAAGUAAUCACACCAGACUGUUAACUACUUAAGCUGAGGUGGCAGCUGAGCUGUCAUUCUGCUUACAUUCAUCUGACAUCACCAGCUUGCUGGUUUUCCUUAGCUUGUGCAGCUUCCUCUUUUCUGCACAAUGAGCUUCUCUAACAGCCCCCCUCAAACUCAAAGGACAAGAGUGAACAUUGAGUUUGGCCCUCAAGUAAUUAAACUGUAUGAAGGAAAGAGGUUUAGUCAUUAUGUCUGCAACUUGAUCUGCACUUGCUAUAUAUUGAAUGCUGAGCUCCUUAUUAAGAACCUUGUUGCGAAUAAAAUGUAUGUCAAUCUCAAUGUGUUUUGUUCUGGAAUGGUAAACUGGGUUCUUGGCCAAUUCAGCUGAACUAAUGUUAUCACACCAAAUAAUAGGUUUAGCUAUGCAGCAUACUCCAACUUCAGCAAACAAGGACUGUAACCAAGUUAAUUCUGCACUAGCUGAUGCCAAUGCCCAGUACUCACUCUCGGCACUUGACCUAGCUAUUACUCCUUGCUUUUUAGAAGACCAUGAUAUAAGAUUAUUACCCAGGUAGAUACAAUAUGCACUCACUGAUUUCCUGUCAUCUAAAUCACAUGCCCAAUCAGCAUCUGUAAAUCCAGUAAGCUCUAUAUUGCCUUCUUUAAUGAUCUUUAAACCAUAGUCCUGAGUGGCCUUUAGAUAUCUUAAAACCCUUUUACAUGCCAUGAGAUGCUGUAGUGUAGGAGCAGAUACAUACUGACUGAGUUUGUUAACUGCAAAAGCAAUCUCAGGUCUUGUCAAAACCAGAUACUGCAUGCUUCCAACAAUGCUUCUAUAGUAUGUAGGAUCUUCAAGAUAAUGACCAAGCUGUCCUUGAACAGACUUCUGUAACUUCAGACCAGUGCUUAAAGGAGUAUCAAUGCCCUUACAAUUAAUCAUAUCAACCUUAGCUAACAAAUCUCUGAUGUAUUUCCUCUGAGACAGAAAUAUGCAAUCUUCAUCAUAUAAGACUUCUACCCCAAGAAAAUAAGAUAAAAUGCCAAGAUCUUUUAAAGCAAAAGUUGAGCUUAGUGUUGCAAUAAAAUGUUCUAAUUCAGCACUGCUAGGACCUGUAACCAAGAUAUCAUCCACAUAUAUCAACACAAGAAUCAUGGAAGUAUGACUCCUUUUCAAAAACAGAGAUGUAUCAGAAGUAGUAUUAGUGAAUCCCCACUGCAGCAAGCAGCUCUUAAGUUUAUCGUACCAAGCUCGAUGAGCUUGUUUAAGUCCAUAAAGAGACUUGUGCAAUUUACACACAUAACCAGGCUUUGUGUUGUCAAUAAAACCUGUUGGCUGAGACAUAUAAACUUCUUCUGUCAAAUCCCCAUUGAGAAAUGCAUUAUUGACAUUAACUUGUCUAAUUUUCCAUUUGUUCAUCACUGCUAAGCUUAAUACCACUCUGACAGUUGCUGGUUUAAUAACUGGACUAAAGGUUUCAAAGUAGUUUACCCCUGCAAUUUGUUGAAAACCUUUGGCAACAAGCCUAGCUUUGUAUUUGGCUACACUCCCAUCAGUGUUGUAUUUAAUCCUAUACACCCACUUAUUAUCCACAAUCUGUUGAUCAGUCUCUUUAGGAACCAAGGACCAAGUAUUAUUGUGAACUAAGGCAUCAUACUCAUCUUGCAUAGCCUUCACCCAUCUAGAAUCACUCAAAGCCUCUUGCACUGAAUCUGGUUCUUUGUGAGUGAGAAUGGUUGUAUACACUUUUGGUUUAAAAGUGCCAGAUUUGCUUCUGGUGCUCAUAGGAUGAAUGUUGGAUUGUAUUUGAGGUAAGUCAACAGGAGGAGUUAAUGAUGUUGUAUUAUCAGAAACAGAGGCAGAUAAGAAAUAUUGUGUAUUAACAGGUAGAUGAGUUUGAGAACUUACUUGCUGUGAAUUUUGAUCAUUUGUUGUUUGUGCAGGAUUUUCUGAGUGAGUUGAGUUGCUGCUAUCAGGGUUUGCAGAUAAGGAAUAACCAGUGCUAUUUUCAGUAAAUGAUUGAACAACAGGCAAAGUGGAAAGAUGAUAUAUUUGCUGAGGAGAAAAGGAAGUAGAAGAAAGAGGUGAUGAUGAUGACUCCGUGAAACAAUGAAAGCUAGAAUCAGUAGAGUAAGAAAAAGUGAGUUCAUCAAAUAUGACAUGUCUUGCUAUGUAAAGAUGACCUGAAGGAUGUAAGCACUUGUAACCUUUGUGUGAUGAACUAUAUCCUAGAAAAAUACAUUUACUGGAAUGAUAGUCAAAUUUGUGUUGGUUAUAAUCCCUCAAGUAAGGAUAGCAUGCACAACCAAAACACUUAAGCAUAUCAUAGUUGGGUUGGUGUUUGAAAAGUUUCUCAUAGGGAGACAAAAGUUUGAGAACAACAGAAGGCAAUCUAUUUAUGAUGUACACAGCUGUAUGAAAUGCUUCCCACCAAAAUUUAAAGGGUAAUUUAGAUUGAGCUAGCAGUGUAAGUCCCAUUUCAACAAUAUGCCUAUGUUGUCUCUCAACCAAUCCAUUUUGAUGAUGAGUGUAUGGGCAGGAGUGUCUAAAAAUGAUACCACACUGAUUUAAGAACUCAGUGAAAGGUCUGUACUCACCCCCCCCCAAUCAGAUUGUAACUGCUUAAUGGUGGUUUGAAACUGAUUUUCAACCUGUGUUUUGAAAAGCUUAAAGACACUUAGAGCUUCAGACUUAAACUUUAGAGGGUAGAUCCAGGUAAACCUGCUAAAAUCAUCCACAAAACUGAUAUAAUAGUGAUAUCCAUCUCUAGUGUAGACAGGUGAAGGACCCCAGAGAUCUGUAUGUAUCAGUUCUAAAAACUUGGUUGUUUUGGUUGUGGAUGAAGGGAAAUGAAGCUUAUGGCCUUUGCCCAUUUGACAAGCUUCACAGAUGUAUUGCAGUGCUUGUAUUAUUUGAUUAUCAGAAAAAUUUGCAGACUUGAUGUUUUUGAGAACAAGCUUUAAGAUAUAUUGAUUGGGAUGACCAAAUCUAUUAUGAAACAAAGCAAUCUUAUUCACUGAUGUUGUACAAGAUAAUGCAGUAGAUGAAUAACAAGAUUUUGAAUGGCUACAAUCUGCAUUAUUAACAUCAGUUACAGAAUUAAAAUGAAAACAUCACAACAUUGACAUUGGCUUAUUUGAACUGAUCUGAGAUAGAAAAGAUGAUUUAGAGAAUGAGUAUGGUUUGAAUAACAGCCUGUAUAAUCCUCUUUCAGCAAUACCCUGUAGCAGAACUUCCCCCUUCAGAGCAUCCUUCACAUAACAAAUAUUUCCAAGAAAUUCAACAGACAAAUGGUUAUCAGAUGUGAGUUUAGAAAUACUCAAUAAAUUUUUGGUAAUUGAAGGGACAAGAAGAAUAUCUUUCAGUACUAUGUGUGGGUGUUUGUGUUGAGCAAAUGAAGUUUUAAAAACAAAUUUAGCAUCACCAACAUGAGUUAUGGGCAAACCUUGUCCAUUUCCAAUGAUAAGCUGAUCAGAACCAUUGAAUUCCUCUCUGACCUGUAUAUUAGCCAUGUUGUUGGUUAAGUGAUGAGUUGCUCCACUAUCAAGAUACCACCCUUCAUCAGCAGGCCCUUCAAAAUUUGCAAGAUAAGCAGCUCCAGGUGCAGAAGACAUUUCAGAUGAACAAUGAGGCAUAGAAGAAUAUGUCACUGGAUCCAGAUUGUAAGACUGAUAAUUUAAGCAGUUCAUAGCAUAAGAAUCAUCAAAAUAUGGUGCAAACUCAGCAUGUGAGUUAAAUGUAGUCAUAUAAGCUGACUUAGGUCCUCUUCCUCUACCAAAAUGCCUUGACUGUGGCACAUAAUUCUCAAUAUAUAUGUGCCAACAAGCAUCAGCUGUGUGCCCUGACUUAUGACAUAUCUGACAAACAGGAAUGUUAUCAUCUGAUUCAGUUCCAGCUAACACAAAACCUUGACCAUAAGGCUUAGGAUGUGAUAAGACUUUGUGAAACUGCAUUGGCAUAGAGUUGCCUCUUCCAAAAUUAUGACCACUGUUAUUAAAGCCUCUAGGAUAUGUAUUAAACAUCAUUCCUCUUCCAGCAUUUCUGUUUCCAUUAUGAAUUUGUCCACGAUAUCCUCCAUAACCAAAACCUCAUCUUCUAUUAUUCCCUCUGACUUGAGAAUAAUUGGAAUUCAUCACUCUAUAGUUAGCAUUGAACAUGACUUUAGUAUUCUGAUUGGUCUGACUUUGUUCUAAUCGUGCCUCAUGUGUUAACAGUAAGGCAUAAGCAUCAUCAUAAGACAUCUUAUUAGCUGUGAUAAUAGAUGCAAGAUCUAAAUAACCAGUCCCUAAUCCAUUUAGAACUUGCAUUAACAAAUCCCUUUCUGACAUAGGACUACCAGCACAGGCAAGUUUAUCAGCUAAUAUUUUGACUUUUAAGCAAUAUUCUUCAACAGACAUGGAUUCCUUUCUAAGUACAUUCAAUUCAUAACGAAGUUGCAUUAUUUUAGCUUCAGACUGAGCUCCAAAUUGUUUCUCAAUAGAUCUCCAAGCAUCUCGUGAAUUGUCACAGUUAAGAAUAGAACUGAGAAUACCUUCAUUAACUGAUGGUAACAGCCAGCCAAGUAGUAUUUGAUCUUGAGCUCUCCAAUUUAUGUAUGCUGGAUUAUCCACUUUCUGCACUGAUCCAUCAGCUGUUGUUUGAAUGAUAUGUUGCUCUGGUAUGAUCUGAUUUUCAGAUAUGAAAUCUUCAAGCCGAUUUCCUCUGAUUGAUGUAAGAACUUGUUUUCUCCAGAUUAGGAAAUUAGAUCGAUCUAGUUUUAUUGGAUUACUGAAUGAGAAUGAGAUCUGUGAAGGUUGAUUUGCAUUUGUUGAAUUUGAAAGUGUUGUUGUGUUGCUGGAACUAGCCAUAUUGGCUCUGAUACCAUGAAAUAAAUUGAGAGAAAAUAUUGUUUGGUUGCUGAGAAAAUAUCUCAGAAAAUUUCCAGAGAACUUUCGGAUUUCUUGUAUUUAUUUUUCUUAGAAAGAAAUGUUAUGAUUACAACUUAUUUAUACUCAAAGCUCAAGGAUUACUAAAGCUAAUGACUAACUAAUUCAGUAGAAUCUCCACAUGCAUAACCACAGCUCGAUAUACAGAGUAAUCACACCAGACUAUUAACUACUUAAGCUGAGGUGGCAGCUGAGCUGUCAUUCUGCUUACAUUCAUCUGACGUCACCAGCUUGCUGGUUUUCCUUAGCUUGUGCAGCUUCCUCUUUUCUGCACAAUGAGCUUCUCUAACAAAAGCCCCAAGGAGAAACCUUGUAGCUAUGGCCAUCCAGAAAUUCACACUAAGCCCAAAAAGAGUGUUAAAAAUAAACCCUGUGAGCAUUUUAAGACAGACAAGAAAUCCAGAAAUUGCCGAAGUAUCAUCAAUUUCAAGCUUGAUCAUAUGAAAAUAGAAGUCACUAACACUGUGAUGCUUCCUAUUAUUAUUACAGGCUUUCGACCACAGCGGUCAGCCACCAUUUCUCACAAAACAGAUGUUAGAGCUCGGCCAAGCAUGUAUGAAGACCCUUCAAUUUCAUCAAGGUAUUAAGAUGUUUGUUAGGAUAACUUCUUGAGGAAUUUGAACUGUUAUAUUGGUCGUACGUACAUACACACACACACACAUACAUACAUAUAUACAUAUAUACAUACAUAUGUAAAUCGUUUCCAGGUGCGAACAUAUGUACUUUUUAAAGCAUAGACUUGGCCCUUUAAAGUUGUAAAGACGCGGGUCCGUAUUGUAAAGCUCUUGUACAGUGCGUUUACAGUGAUGUAAAGUCUCGGUAGAAUGUCUUCCCAGAGUUGUAAAGGCGUGAGUCAGCACUUUAUAAGGCGUGGACAUUCGUACCCAAGACGGACUCCAUACUGUGUGUCAGAAUUUGUUAUACCUUUUUUCUCUUCGUGUGAACGCAAGUUAGAGUGACAUCUAACAAACCACUGCGCAACUUCAAUUUCAUCAUGGUAUUAAGAGGUUUGUUAGGAUAACUUCUUGAGGAAUUUGAAGUGUUAUAUUGGUCAUACACACAUACAUACACACAUACAUACAUAUAUACAUCCAUACAUGUAGAUAUGUAAAUCGUUUCAGGUGCGAACAUAUGUACUUUUUAAAGCAUAGACUUGGCCCUUUACAGUUGUAAAGACGCUGUGAAGCGUUUGUACAGUGCGUUUACAGUGUUGUGAAGUCUCGGUAGAAUGUCUUUGUAGAGUCGUAAAAGCUUGAGUCUGCACUUUAUAAGGUGUGGACAUUCGUACAAAAAACGGACUCCAUAUUGUGUGUCAUUUAUUAAAUACAAUAAAAAAACAUAGAAUAACUCACCCACGUAACCAGCAUAGAAUCCAAUAUCUUGAUCCUUUUUGCAAUGUGAAAAUUCCUAAACUGAAAAAAAAUCAUAAAUGACUGCUGUGAAAAAGCAAUGAAUUAUUUGAAAUAUAAAACUUGUCUUUUCUUAUAUUUCUCAGAAAAUCACCAAGCAUGAUAGGAAAAUAUAAAUUUUCUCACUAAUAACCACUACGCUGAAGGCAAUAAUAAUCCACUCACCAUAAAAUAAAGGAAGGGAAAGAGAGAUGCGACCGGCAGAACUGAAAAAAAAAAUCACAAAAGAAUUGAAAAUCAUUGUAAAUGGUUCUCUCCAAAAUCAUUAUAUCGAGUUGAAGUUGAAAAAUUUUCCAGUUGCAAGCACAACAAUCCAAAUAAUUAAAAGCUUACGAAUUGGUAAGCCUCGUUCCGACUCUUUAAGCUUAUCAACCUUACAGCCUGAGCAGUUCUUAUAAUAUUUCUUCUUCAAUAGCGGCUCUCUCACUUUCCCCUCCGCCAUACUUGAAAAAUUUUCAGCUCAAGUAAUCGUCUUUGUCUAUUCAAUCCUAUUUCAAUGCUUAAAUAUAAGUACUUAGAAAAGAAGUAACAAAAUCAAUACAAAAGAAUCAAUGAGCUUAAGGAUAUAAUCAAACUAGAGAUAUAGUGAUCAUUUAAAGAAUUUUCAACAGAAUUCUAAAAUCAGUUGAUUUUCCAGCUGGGUCUGUCACCACCAUGGUAAUUAAAAUUAUUGGAUCCCAUGCAAAACAAAAAUUUUUCAUUACAUGCCCUCAUAGCUGACGUCCAAUUAAUCAUUACUCUUAUGAGAAUAAUUUUUGGUGACAAGAACAGCGGCAUCCUUGGACGUGGCAAAAUAAUCACAAAAAUCCCUUAUUUUAAAAAAUGAUCAUGAAAAUUUAUUGAGGAACACACAAAUUCAGGAUCUGUGUAACUAUUGUUAAAUACAAAAAAAGGUCUAUAUGCAUUAAAAAAGAGUUUGUAUGUUCAUUUUUUAAAAAUAAGGGAUAUUCAUGAUUACCAUGUUAAGCCACGAGAUGUCGUGUUGUUUUCUAAUUUUUCAUUAAAUCGUUGUUACACAAUUCGACAUGUAAAAGUAAUUUUUUUUUUUUGAGAGAUGGUAACAAACAUAGUGACAAAACUAUCAUAGUACCGUCUAAUGAUGAAACUAAUUGUUAAUUAAUUAAUAAAAAUACUAAGUGAUUGUAACGGUUCCGGUCACAGUCACAGUCAAAUAUAAUUAGGAUAAUUUAAUUUAAAUAAUGUGUAAUUAAAAAAAAAACCCUUUUUCCUUCGCCGCCUCUAUAAUUUAAUUUUGGGUUUGAUAUCUUUAGUUUUAAGAUUUUUGAUUAUUGGGUUUCUUUUUAUUGAAUUUUCUUAGUAUGAAUUUAUUUUGUAAAAGAAUUUUACAAUGAAAUUUGCUCUCAAGGAUUUUGGUAUCAUUAGUUUAGGGUUUCUUUCUAUUGGGUUUUAUUUGUUUUGGUGGGAUUAUUGGACUUAUUUUGUAAUGUACUGAUGAAUGUGUGUUUGAUUUUUUUCUUUCACAUUGGAAUCAUGCUUUGCCUCUGAUUUUGUAAUUUACUAGGUUUAUAAUCUUGGGUUCGUAAUCCGGAAAAAAAUCGUUUCCAUAUAAUUUUAAAAAUAUUAUAAUAAAUUUUUACUUUUUGAUUUAAAUUUUAUUAGUUGUAAGGGUAUGUUAGUACUUAUAUACCCAAUUCAUUUCAAAAUAGGGGUAGUAUAGUCUUUUAAAUUUAUAACAGCCUAAACAGUUAGAAUUAGUUGAUUUUUUUAACAGAAAUAGGGGGAGGUGCAUAUGGUCAAAAGAUGUGGGUGCGCUGUGUGAAAUACUGAACAAUUGGGAGCUGAUGCUUAAUGGAAGGAACAAAAUUCAGGAAAAGAGGAAUCAAAGUGCAAAAUGAAUUAGGAUACCUGAAAAGAAAGAAUGAAAAUAACUUUUUUUUUUUAAAUUAUUUAUUUGGACAUUGUGACAAACAAGUGAUGUGCAUUGUUAAUUCAGAUUGCCCAAAAUGUCAAGUCUUGAAAAACGACAACAUUACAUGAUUCAUGAGAAGCCUAUCACUUUGAGAUUAAUUUAAUUAAAAAAAGUUCCGUUUGCUUAAUACUAAAAUGUCACGCGCAAGUUGUCCUGGACUAGAGAGUCGUUCACCCGUACUUACACCCAAAAGUCACGAGGAUCAAAACCAGAUCUGUCACUGCAUUUGCUUGAAAAAUGAUUUUACUAAUAUAAAAUAUUAGUAAAUAUAUAUUUUGAAAAAUUAAUAUUCGUGUUUCGAUAGCUUUCUAAGUGGUUUAUUUACAGGUAUUCAAAAUAUAUAUAUUUAGUAAUUUCUAUUAAAAUUUUGCGACAAUUGUUUGGCUGGAAUAUUUUUUUAUAAGAAAAAUAGCGAUCUCACACUGAUCCACAGUUGAGCCAAUUACCUAGUUAAAAGCUACCUCAAUAUUUUUUAUUUUUACCCUAAUGCAUGUCUGAUUCUUUUAAAAUUUUACGUUAUAUAUAUUAAACAAAAAUUAUAAUUUUAAUCAUUGAAAAAUUAAUGACAGACAUCUUUUGAAUAAUUUUUUUUUGAAAAAUACAGAGCUAGAGAUAAUGCUAUAAUUGAUUGAAUAAGAAGGCUACAACUUGAUGAUAACUUUAUUGCAAUGUUGCGUGAUCUCAAUAUAUUAUUGGCUUGUGUGAGUAAAAGCUGCUGGCUCUUGUUUUACUAAUUUGCCUUUGUAUUUGACUGGCUCGACAAAGAAUCGAUUUACCUCAUACUCAAAUUACAAACAUCGAAACCGGAUCUGUCAUUACGUUAAUUGGCCUCCUAAAAUAAUCAAUCACUUUCUCUUUAGUCUACCAUCCACUCUUUCCAGUCGCUUAGUUUCAUUCUAAUCAUCUAAACGCUCUUUGCUACUGUUUCUUCUAUUCGUCAUUGUUCUUGUUCUGUUAUUAUUUAGCUUUGCUCACUCCUCAGUCUCAUUUCUUAUUCUGUACCCAUCAGCUCUUUUAGCUCUUUACGUCGUGAUCGAAACCCUUUUCUUGUUUCCUUCAUUUCAUCUGAAAAACACGAACUGCCUGUCCUAUCGCUGUCUCUUUGUUUUUACUUUCCUUUGGCUUUCUUAGCUUCUACGUUUUUGUCAGGAUUCGAGAUGCUGGAAAUCAUUGCGACUAUCGUCUUGGAACUUGUAAAAUGCUUGGCUCCUCCAACUGAACGCCAACUUGUGCAUUUGCGAAAGCGGAACUACAAUGCCAACUUUGAGAAUAUCAAGGCGGAAAUGGAGAAGUUGAAGGUUGAACGUGCGAGCAUUCAGCGCAGGGUUUCAGAGGCGAAAGAAAAAGGGGAAGAGAUUGAAGAGAAGGUUGAAAAGUGGCAGGUUAGUGCGAACGGCAUCAUUGACCGGGCAGCCAAAUUCAUUGAAGAUGACGAGUCAACGAAUAAGCGCUGUGUCAAGGGCUUGAGUACUAUUUGGAAGAGUCGCUAUCAGCUUAGCAAGAAAGCAGAGACGGAGGUGAAGGCCAUUAUUGAACUUGGAGAAGAAGUUAAGAAGUUUGAUACUGUUUCCCACCGUACCAUUCGGGAGCAGAUACGGCUUAAGUCUAGCAAUGGUUACGAGGCCUUCAAAUCAAGACUUUCUACUUUGCAGUCUAUAAAAAAUGCAUUGACGGAGGCGAAUGUCAGCAUUAUUGGGGUGUACGGCAUAGGCGGCAUUGGAAAGACCACACUGGAAACAUCUUGAAUUGGAGAAGAAGCUGUUUUAUCGGGUGGUUUUAUCAGAGGUUUCAUAAACUCCAGAGAUAAAAAAGAUUCAAGGGGAAAUUGCAGAGAAGUUAGGUCUGGAGUUGUCCGAUGAAGCUGAAUAUAGAAGAGCUAGCAAGCUGUAUGACCGAUUGAAGAGUGAGAAUAAGAUUCUUGUGAUUCUAGAUAAUAUCUGGAAACAUCUUGAAUUGGAGACGGUUGGAAUUCCUUUUGCAAAUAAUCAUAAAGGAUGUAGACUGUUGCUGACAGCACGAGAUAAUACUGUGCUUUUAAGUAUGGGCUCCAAAGAUAACUUUUUGAUUGGCAAUCUAACUGAACAAGAAGCCUGGAGAUUGUUUAAGAUAAUGAAUGGUGAUGAUGUUGAAAGUUUUAAGUUCAAGUCUACAGCAAUUAAUGUAGUUAAGGCAUGUGGAGGUUUGCCCAUUGCGUUGAGGGCACUGAGAAACAAGAGUCUCCAUGAAUGGAAGAAUGCCUUGCGAGAGCUCCGAACGCCUUCAAUGGUAAACUUCGAAGGUGUGUCUGCAGAGACUUAUUCAAGUAUUGAGCUGAGUUUCAAUUAUUUAAAAGGUGAGCAAGUCAAGAAAAUUUUUCUGCUUUGUCGUCUAGUAGGUAACAGUGUUUGGUUUUCAGACUUAUUUAGAUACUCCAUGGGUUUGGGCAUAUUUCAAGGAGUCAACAUUCCCUUCAUAUUUACCAAAGGUAAGUGAUAAAUCCUACAUAUCCCACUCAAGAAUGCAUAUGUUUUUUCAAUCUCAAGUACCUAAAGUUUUCUUCUACGUUUAUAAAAAUUUCAGCACCAUCUCCCUAUAAUUCUCCAAGCUCACGACACAGCUAUAUAAGUGUUUAUGCGUUAUGCCAAAACAACACAUGACACCCAUUCACCUAGUACGUACCCAGAGAACACGAGGAGCAGCUACCGAAAAAGCCAUUUUUACGUGGGAAGAAAACUUCAGCUACUAGCUACCAGAGAGAACUAUGCAUUCCCAAACUGUCCAAGCCUGGACAAUUCAAGAAUUAUUAAUAGACAUAUGAUCCUCACUAUCAUCCAAAGAUGACACUAAUACAACAUGUGUCUAUUAAUAAUUUCUUAAACAAGUCUAAGCUUUCAAUGCACGUAUCAAAAGUUUAAAAUUGAAUCUGAAAUUUGAAUAGCACAUAAAUAUCAUAAAUCUCUUCAAUUUAUUCCUGAUACAAUGUAGCAUUAUUUCACAUAUCAUUUCUUAAGCAAAACCAUAAAAAAUACAAACGAUAAAUACAUUUUCCCACUGAUGCAGAUUAUGUUUACUGAGCAAUAAGUUUUAAGCCAUUCAUUUUGAAAUACUUCUGCCUAUUCUUUCAACAUAUAACUAGUACGUACACACAAUUAAUAAAUUAAAAAAAAAAACCUUCUGGUGAAUCUUGCAAAAUCUUCCUUUUUUCUUUUUUUUUUCUUUUUCUUCUUUUUUUUGGGGGUGGGGGGGUGUGUUGGGGGAACUAUGAAUCUUGCAAAUCCUCAAGAAGCUAUGUUAAGACAAGGCCAGCUUACUAUUAGGGUAUGAAAGAUAAAACCUUUUAUUUCCUUUUCAGAAUAAAAAGAACAUUGACAGUGUUAAAAAAAAUCUAGAGGAUUUCAGGCCUCCAGAUCCUUACAAAUCAAGGAUAUUAAAAAAAUUUACUUAGAGGAGAAAGGUUAUGCUCAUUUGUAUCUUGUUAGAAGAAAUUGAUCCAAAGCCUCAGUUUUAAUUAACUUCAUAUAGCCAAUGAUUAGGUGUUUAAAAACCAAUGAAUAUUUUUAUAAGAAAUCGACAAUAUUGUUGAAAGAAAAACCAAAUAAAAAUAAUAAAGCCAAUGAAUAGAUCAAGGCUCUUUGUGGUCUAAAACUAAUCAAACUAAGUUGUGGGCAAAGGCGAAUAUGUUUGUUUGGUCAAUAAUAAGCUCAACAAAUCACUAAUAAUCACCUAAUCACUAUUCCUUAUGCUCUGCAAUAUAAUGGCCUGGGUAAUGGCGCCAAGGCAGAUAAUAACUAGCUAGCCAGUUAUGAUAGUUGAUUAACUUAACCUACUGGAAAUCUGUAGACCAAAACGAAGAAGCUUUGCCUAGAACUAGAAUAGGAACAUUCAUACCCAAAACUGAUAUACACGAUUAAGAAACUUGAUUAUAUGGAUAUUUCUGGUGGCCACACUUAAAGAGAAUUUUCAAAAGAUGCUAAGGUACACCAAAUCCCACUAUUUCAUACUCAUAAACACAAAAACCCAUGGCAAAAAUUAAUGACUAUAUCAAAUAAAAUCAGUCAUAGGACAAUGAGAUUAGGACAACUUGAUUUGUAUACCAUAAAUCUGCAUAGUGAACUAUAUUUCUGUUAGAACUCUGAAGUUUUUCUAUUAAAUUUUUUUCUCUGCUAGGUAAACCACUUUUAACUGAAAUGCUUAAGCCAAUAUUGACAAUCAUAGACAUAAAAGUAUUAAUAGGCUCAUUCAAGUGAAAUGAGCAUUAUUUCACACAUCCUUUAGGUUUUUAAGUUAUUUAGAAGUCAUUCAUGUUAAAAAAAAAAUCAUAUACUUUCAAUAUAAUUAGUACAUACACAAUUAAUUAAUUAAAUAAAUUUGUUUCAGCUAAUAUAGGAACUUAAUUAAUCAAAGCUAGUAGUUAUAGCUAGGACUUGAACGAGGCACCUUUCAAAGUUCAAGAAGAGCAUCUGAACAGAAUGAAAGCAAUUUGUAGAAAUGGUAAUGAUGCUUUACAUCUACAUGCUCUUACACAAUAUGAACUUUCAUUUACUCCAAGCUCUUAUUCUACAAGUCAAUUCAGUUUGUAGACGCACGCCAUUGUAAAAACUUUUGUAUUAUAAUUUCUGAAAAUAGAAUGUAACAUUAUUAAUAUAGAAUCAGCAAUGUAUAUAACUUAUCAGACAAUAUAACAAGCACUUGGUGAGCAUACAAGAUAAACUAAAACAAGUUAUCUAGAAAAUGAAACUAAAACCCAAGCUCCGCUAUUCAUUGUAGAAGCUUUAAACAUAAAAUUAAAGUAAAUCUAAUAGCAAAACAUUAGAAUGGAUAUUGAAAUUAAAGCUAAAUUCAAUAGUAAUUCAAAUGAAUCCAUUUGAACUUUGUAAAUUCCGCAGAACAAAAUUAAUUUGAGUGAGCAAACUCACCAAUGGAACAAGAACACAGGGGCUUCAACUUGUAGGAAUAAAAAAAUAUUGCUGGCGGGACAAAAAUUGACAAUAACAGCUACAAUACGAAUUUUAAAAAAAAUCAAAAUCUAUAAUUACAAGCUAAGUAAGAGAAGAAACUCAUAAUCACAAGCUUAACUCAAAAGAUGAAGGGAGAACACGAUGAAGAAGAAGAUGGCUGGUGUUUUACGCCGUUCGCCGGCAACCAGUUAGGUUUACGAUGGUGGCUAGUAACACGGAGUCCAGCGAAUAGUUUUCUAACUGGAAAUAAAUUUAAAAUUCUAAAAUAGUACCGAACGGCUCAAGCUCUCUAUAUAGUUACUAAUUCAAUUCUCCUUCGAAAGGUUCUCUCUGUCCUAGAGAGAACUUUGAAUGGAAGAGUAAAAGGGUCCUCAUGACUCGAGUAGUCACUCACAGGUGAGUGAAGUAUUUCAUUUCGUUACCUUACAUCCUAGUUCAAGUAGAUAUUCAGGUCCUUUUAUUGGGGUGAGCAGAGUUGGUGAGGGGUAUAAAACACAGGGUAUUAACAACCAAGGCUGUACAUCAAUUUCUCUAUCUGUUAAAAAGAGAGCUUCCAUAAAUAUGGAUACUGAGGAACUGAUUAGGAAAUGCAAAGCUAGGGGAGGAUAAAGAAAAGAUAGUGAACUUUGAGGGAAGCAUGAGGAGCAAAGGAAGACAAGUAGUAGCUGGUUGUUUGGUGGGUAAAAUCCUACACAACAGGAGUGUUAAUCAAGAAGGAUUGAAGAGUGCGCUACAAAUGGUGAGGCGGACAACCAAAGAAGUUCGGAUUGAAAGCUUGGGAAAUAAUGUCUUUUUGUUCAAAUUUGCGCAAGAAGCAGACAAGAAAAGAAUCCUAGCAGGAGGUCCUUGGCAUUUUGACAGAGCAUUGAUAAUCCUCACAGAGCCAAAAGGAAUUGGGGAGGUUACUAGACAAGCCUUCACACAUACUUCAUUUUGGGUACAACUUCGGAAUGUACCAAUCAUGUGUAUGGAAAAGGACAUCCUAAAAGUGUUGGGGGAGCAAAUCGGGACUGUGGAAUAAGUAGAGACGAACGGAUAUGGAGAAUGUAUUAGUGAAAUUGCUAGAAUACGAAUCUCUGUUGAUAUAACACAACCACUGCCCAAAAUGAUUUUUCUCAGACUAGAAGGGGAAGAAAAAAUCCCAAUGCCAGUUGGCUAUGAGCAUCUACCAGACUUUUGUUUUUGUUGUGGACAUAUUGGUCAUAGCUUCAAAGAGUGUGCUCAGUACAAGGGGCAAGCUAAAGAGCAGCUACCAUAUGGGGUCUGGAUGAAAGCGAUCAAGAUAAGUGAAAGAGCAAAACUGAACCGCAGUAGAGUAAAUUGGAGUAGAAACCAUGGGAAAACCGACGGUAAUCCAACAAGUUCAGAGCAAAUUGACAAUGGGAAAUCGCAACAAAGGCGGGUUGAACCAAACCCAGAUAUGGUGCACGGGUCGAAACCAGCAAAUGAGGAAACGGGUCAAAUCAUUGAACAAGCUCGAGAUGCUGAGGUGGAGUGGAAAGCUGAUGAGCAUUUAAUGCAAGAUAUCGGAGGAUCGAAAAAGAAGCAAAUCAGGGACAGUAAGCACGAGGUAGCAGCUGACAAUGGAAAAUCUUUUGGAAAUUCGAGAUUUCAAGCGAGAAAGGAAAAUACGAAAGAGAGGGAAAAUGGAGGAGCUGAUUCAAUUGAAUUAGAUUCGGGUACAGUGGGCUCAGAACACCAAAUUCAAAAAACCAAAAAUCAAGCAAAAAAGGGAACAAAAAAAUAUGGUUUGGAUAAAGGGCCACGCAUGAACUACUCGAGGCCCAAUAGAAGGAAAUGGAAGCUGCAGGCUCGGGCAACAUGUAACAAGAGUGGAUGCAAGGCUAGUCCAAAGGUUUCAAAAAGCUCAAGUUGUCACCUAAUUGGACCAAGCCCAAAACACAAAAACAUAAAGCUUGUUAGCCCGAUUAAAUCAGCAAUGAAGCAAAAACAAGAAGGCUCCCCAGCAGCAAAGCUCAAACUUACUUGGGAGCCGUUGGCAGUGGAAGAAAUGGAGAUGGCAAUUCCAAGCUUAGAAGAGAUAUCGGCGGAGGCUAGUGGCCAGCCCCGCCGGAAGCCAUGAGGAUCCUUAGUUGGAACGUUCGGGGUUUGGGGAAUACCCGAACGUUUCUAGCAUUGCAAAAGAUUCUCUAGUUGCAUAGGCCUCAUCUUUUAUUCUUGUGUGAAACGAAGUUGUUGCCUGCGCAAAUGAACGGGAUUAGUAGGAAGUUGAACUUUGAAAAUUGCUUUAAGGUGGAUAGAAGAGGUAGAGGAGGAGGAUUAGUGAUGUUGUGGAACUCUGAAAUUGAAGUGCAAAUUAAAUCUUUCAGCAACCACCAUAUUGAUGCUAAGGUUCAAACUGAAAAUGGGAAGCACUUUCGAUGCACCGACGUUUAUGGCCAUCAUGAGGCAGGGCAAAAGAAACAUACUUGGACACUUCUGAGGCGGUUGGCAGGAUUAUACCCUUUGCCUUGGUUAUGUUUUGGCGACUUUAACGAAGUAUUGCAUCCUUAUGAAAAAACAUGAGGUAAUGAAAGAGAGCUAAGCUUGAUCAGAAACUUUAGAGAAGCUUUGCGAGAUUGUAACUUAGUUUGACGUGGGAUACAAAGGAUACCCAUUUACCUGGAAUAAUGGGAGAUAUGGGCCUCAUUACAUUGAAGAACAGCUUGAUGGGUUCUUGUGUAACAGGAGCUGGAGUGACAUUUUCUACGAUUGUGCAGCAGCUCAUCUAUCUACUUGGACUUAUGAUCAUUGUCCGUUGUUGAUAGAAGUUCAAGAAAGGGGGAGGGAUUAUGUUGGAAGAGAAAAAAAUCCACUCGAAUUCAUUAUGAGGAUUUAUGGAGCCCAUAUGAAGCUUGCAAAGAAAUAAUCAAGACUGAUUGGAGUAGUUACGGAAGCUAGAAUGAUGCAAAUCCCAUACCCUUAUUUCAAAAGGUGGUUAAAGAAUCAAUGGCUAGGCUGCUUGUGUGGAGCAAGGAAGAGUUUGGAGAAAGAGAGAAGAUGCUGAAGCAGAUUAUGAAUCAGCUGGAGAGGCUGAAACAAAGCUGCGUGCAAUAUGAUAAUGGGGAGGAGAUUAAGAAGUUAGAGGGGCAGAUUCAAGAUAUCCUCAUUGAUGAAGAAAUAUUUUGGAAGCAGCGAUCGAGGGCAGAGUGGUUGAAAGCAGGGAACAAAAAUACCAAAUACUUUCACUACAAAGCAUCAUCGAGGAAGAAAAAGAACCAGAUUUGGGGAAUUGAAAAUGGGUCAGGAAGCUGGACUGAUAAGGCAGAAGAGGUGGAGUAUGAGUUUUACGAAUAUUUCGCAAAACUCUUCACUACAUCAAAGCCAAGUCAAGAAGAAAUUUCGGCAGCAUUAGAAGGCAUCACGCCAAGAGUCUCAAAAGCCAUGAAUGAGCAUUUGGAGCAACCUUUUACACCGGAGGAUAUUACGGAAGCCUUAGCUCAAAUGUCUCCAAUAAAAGCUCCGGGACCAGAUGGUUUUCAAGCAGCCUUCUAUUAGAAGCACUGGAACAUGGUGAAGAAAGGGGUCAUCACAACCUGCCUCCACAUUCUAAAUGAGCAAGGUACUAUGGCUCCUCUUAACCAUACCUAUAUUGCUUUAGUCCCAAAGGUCAGAAAGCUUAAGAGAGUAACAGAUUACAGACCAAUUAGCUUGUGCAAUGUGAUCUAUAGAAUUGUGGCUAAAACGAUUGCAAAUAGGCUGAAACAUAUCCUCCAUCAAGUUAUUUCCCCAACAUAAAGCGCUUUUAUUCCUGAUAGGCUUAUAACAGACAACAUCAUAGUAGGAUAUGAGUGUCUACACAAAAUUAGGCAUAGUAAGGGAAAAAUAAAUGGGCUGGUAGCUUUGAAACUUGAUAUUAGUAAGGCUUACGAUAGAGUCGAGUGGAGCUUCUUAGAACAAGCCAUGACUAGGUUGGGUUUUUCUCCAAAAUGGGUGAAUCUAAUUAUGAGAUGUAUAACUACAGCGUCUUUCGCUGUGAUUAUAAAUGGAGUACCACGAGGAGUUAUCCAACCACAGAGGGGUCUGAGGCAAGGGUGUCCACUUUCUCCAUAUUUGUUUAUCAUGUGCGCAGAAACUUUUUCUUCUCUAAUGUUACAGGCGGAAAGGCAGAAACUCAUUCAUGGAUUAUCAUUCGGCAAAGACAUAAAUAUCUCGCACCUCCUCUUCGCUGAUGAUAGCCUAAUUUUUAUUCGAGCUUCGCCUACGGAUUGUCAGAAUCUGAAAAGAAUUUUUGACUGCUAUACUACUGCAUCAUGACAACUCUUUAAUUUCGAGAAGUCAUCAAUGUUUUUCAGCAAUAACACCAAAGUUGAGCAAAUUUCAGCCAUACAGAAUAUUUUUCAGCUCAAUGUGGUUUCAAGGCAUGAGAAAUACUUAGGUUUACUAUCAAUGAUAGGGAGGAAGAGAAGUAGUUUUUUCCAAGAUGUCAAACUCAAGGUGAUGGAGAAGAUAUCCAAUUGGCAGCAUAAAUUUUUCUCUAGUGGGGGCAAGGAAGUGUUGAUUAAGGCUGUGGCUCAGGCUGUUCCAGCGUAUGCCAUGAGCGUGUUCAAAGUUCCUCUUGGAGUUUGUGAUGAUAUUUAGAAAGCUAUUGCCAAUUUCUGGUGGGGAUCCAAAAAAGAGAAGAGAUGUAUUCACUGGGCGAAAUGGGAAUGACUAAGUAUAGCAUUUAUAAAAGAAUCCUUAGUCUUUCCAUAUAGAAGAACUUACAAAAUAAAUUAGUAAUUUAUUGUUGUGCAAUAAAAUAUUUUCAUGCAAAUAUAAAUCAACCCUUUUUCCCUAAUUUCUUUUUUACAUCUAAAAUUAACAUAUAAAAUAAAUUUUACCAAUAAUUCAAUUUUUUUUUAAAAUAUAAUAUAAAACAAAUACUAUAAAGUCACUGCGUGUGACCGUAGAUCAUCAAUUGACCUCAUUAGUUAUUACGAUUGAUGAUGAUCAGAUCGUACCCAACUUGGAGGAACUAUCACUAAGUGGAAAAGAUGUGAAGAUGAUUUUGCAGGCCGAUUUCCCACAACACCUUUUUGGCAGUCUUAGACAUCUAGAGAUUGCUGCAGAUGACUCAGCUUGUUUUCCAAUCUGGAACGUACUGGAGAGAUUUCACAAUCUCGAAAUACUCAUACUGUGUUAUUUUUCAUUCCACGAAGAGGUAUUUUCGAUGGAAGGAUGCUUAGAGAAACAUGUGGGGAAGUUGGCAAUGAUAAAAGAAUUAGAGCUGUACUGGCACUAUCAUCUGAAGCAGCUGUGCAAACAAGACUCCAAACUUGGCCCCAUUUUUCAGUAUCUUGAAAUUCUAGGAGUAUAUCAUUGUCAAAGUCUGUUAAUUCUAUUGCCAUCAUCAUCGGUAUCUUUUGGGAACCUAACAAAACUUGUAGCUUUCGAUUGCAAGAAAUUGAUACACUUAGUUACAUCCUCCACAGCAAAAACUCUAGUGCGACUCGUAUCACUUUGUGUAUACGGAUGCAGAGCAAUGACAGAGGUCGUAAUAAAUGACAAAGACGGGGUUGAAAAAGAAGAGAUUGUUUUCCGUAAAUUGAAGACGUUGGAACUGCGUGAUUUAGACAGCCUCACUAGUUUCUGCUCUGCCAAUUACACCUUUGAAUUCCCAUCUUUGCCAAUUUUAUUGAUUUCACUACAGGAGAAUCAAUCACGCCUCCGAGAGCAUACGUCUGGCAUGGAGAGACAGCGGGUCAAUGGCUUCGGGCCAAUAAUGUUCUUAACACAACUAUACAACAUUUGCAUGCUGAAAAGGUACGGAUAUACAUACUGCUCUCUAUCUCCCAUGGAAAAAUUUUACAAAAUUUGCUUUUUUUAAUAAAAUAUAGAUAAAAUGUUUGUUAUAAAGUAAAAGUUUAAAUUGAUGAAUAAGAAUUUUAUUUUCAGCUGUUGGCGGUGCCGUCGUCGUUCUCCACCCGGUACUAAUUUCAUAGGCUUCUUAUGACUUGGGAAUUGUGAAUUUUUAGAAGAAAGUCUCAACUAGUAAUUAAUUUUUAUUUCAUUUAUUUGAUCACAUGGCUUCUUUCGCAAUUUCAUCUGAAUUAUUUAGAAUGGGUCACUUGAUUUACUGUUAAAUUUGGAAUGUCAUUUUAAUGAUUCGUUCAGACUUUUAUGGACAGAUUUUGCAUCAUUGAAUGUCUUUUAGUCUAGUUUAAUUUUUUUUUUAUUUGGAGAGUUUCCCUUGUUUUCUAAAAUUGUAUAAUUCCUUUCAUACUUUUUAUGAUAAAAUUUCAUUAAAAGCCUUCAUAUUUUAUAAUUCCAUGAAAUCGUGCGUACUUUUUUCCUAUCUUUCUUCGCCAAUUAUUUGUUUUCAUCAUUGCUGUUCUGUUAUUUUAGUUUGUGCUCUGUUUGUUCAUUUGGUUUGGUUUGCUUCACACCUACCUUUCUUUGGAAACUUAGAAGGCAAAGGAAGUACUUAGAAAAUGCUCUUCCCUAUGAACACAUAAUUAAGAACAGCUGAAAAUCAUUCAUCGGAUAAAAAAAUUAAAAAUAAACAAAAUCUAAUCAGAGCAUUAUGCCUGGAACAAAUCCUUAAGCCAUCAAAGCAAAACUCUUCGCUAUGAAAAACUAUAUUGUGGAAAUAUUGUUUGAAAACGUUGGAUACCAAGAAAGGGACUAAUCUGGUCUAGUUUUAUGAGAAGUGCAGAAGAACAGUAUUUUCUCUGUUGUUCCUAUUAAAAUUCUUUACUCUGUGAUUGUAGAAUGUCUGGAUACUGAUGAAGAUUCAGGUAACUCUUCUUCUGUGCAUCAUUUGAAAUAAGGUCUUUUGUUUUUUUUGGGAAUAUCUCCUACUGGGUUAUAGCUCAUACAAAGAGAUAUUCUCAAAUGAAGCCGGAUACUGGUAGAAACAAGGGAGGAAGUUGGCACUGAUAAAAUGGAUAAUGAAGCAACUCCAAACUGGACUUCAUUUUCAAUAUCUUGAAAUUCUAAGACUAUAUUACUGCUUGUAAAAAUCUUUUAAGUCUAUUCCCAUGAUCAUCUGUAACUUUUGGGAAUCUAACAGAACUGGUGGUUUUCCAUUGCAAAGAAUUGUAACAUCCAUCCACUACAGCAGAAAGUCUAGUGCGGCUCGUAUCAAUGAAUGUAGCUGGAUGCAGGGCAAUGACAGAGGUGGUAAUAGGUGACGGAGAAGAAGAUGGAGCACCAAAUUUAAAUAGAGAUCGUUUUCAGCAAAUUGAAGACGUCAAGUCUGUGUGAUUUAUCUGUGUGAUUUAGAUAGUCUCACAAGUUUCUGCUUUGCCAAUUACGCUUUCAGAUAAAGAUUCUUGAAACUGUCCUAUUUAGAGCUGACAUUUCCACAAGAGUUAAGAGAAUAUAAAAAAUUCAUUAAUCGUUAGUUUUUAAUUUCAUUAUUCAAUGAAAGUCCUGUCAAAUUAAAUUGCCGCUAUUGAAUCUCUCGCUCCCCUUGCAAAUCUCUAUGUGCAAGUACCUAAAUUUACAAAUUUUACUUCAAAUUAAUGAAUGACAUAAUUUAUUUUCAGCUGUUGGAGGAGCCGUCGUCUCUCUCGACGCAGUACGAUAUGUUCUGAUCCCAUAGGCUUUUUAAUUUAUUACAUGGUGCUGUGAAAUUUGAAGAACAAGGUCCCAGGUAACUAUCGUUUUCAUUUCAUUUUGUUUGAUCUCUAAGUUUAUUUUAUCGUUUCAUCUAAAUUAUUUGCAAUGCGUCGGUUGGUUUAUUGUUAAUUUUGGAACAAAGUUGAUGCAACCAACGGUUGCAUAUGAUGAGUAGGAUAUCGCUCUGAGAUCAUAACUUGAAUUAUAGGUAUCUAUCUAGGGCGUAUAAUAUAUCAUUAAUCUAUUACUAUAACAUCGUAUUGGUCUCGUGGUCCAGCUAGAAAUUCUGUUUAUUUCAUAGUUAUUUUACAAGUUUAAGAUAUUUUCUUAUUUUUCUUAUUAUUUUCAAGAUUUUUAUUUUUUUUAUAAAUAUAAGAUUUAAGUACGAUUAUUUUAUUUUUAUUAGAAGAAUGUUAUUAUAUAAUAAUAUUUUAGGUUUGCCUAUUUUGGUAAAUUCGUAAUAUUUAGAAUUAGUAUAAAGAGGGUCCAAAAUCCAAAUUUUGUUAUUCAGACCUCUCUAUUAAUAAAAUUUCAGACUUUUCAAAAACUUGUGUUUCUCUAUAUUUUCAAUCUCAACGUCCAUGUUUCCGUUAUCAUAAAUUCUAAUGCCUGGUUCCAUCAGACCUCUCUAUUAAUUGAGGCUCUUGAAUAAGACUCUUUAUGACUUCAAUAUUUUACUUGAUAUGAAAAUUUCUUUCUAGAUAGAAUCAUUGUGAAGAUAAAUUGUGGUAUUACUGACAAUGAAUAAGUUGAAACAUCAACAGAGAUAAAUAUUGAGCAAUUAAUGUUACCAGCAAUCAAUUUGUGAGCACCAACAACCAUUUUCAUAUUUAAGCCGUUAGAACAGUAACACAAAAUAUGGCGAGUGGCAACCACACAAAUAAUCAAAUUCCUGAUAGAUUUUGAAAACUUUAAUUUGCUAGAUAUGUAUUUUAAUAUUUCAACAGGUGCAUCUUUUCUCUACUCAUGUGGCACGUUGAAUCAGAAACGGUUUGAAUGUCAAUAUUACUCCAAGUGCCUCAACCAAAUUCAGAAUGAAGAAAAUCAUCUGGUUACCUGCACUUUAGUUUAAGCAGCUGAUUAAGUUAAUUAGCACCAAGUAAUUCACAUACUAGUGAGAAAUUUCAUUAGUAAAUUCAUACCUGGGAGGAAACCAGCAUCUUGACGCUUUUGUGACCAAGAAAAUCUGCCAGAACCCCAAUUAAUGAAAAAAAAAUUAUAACAUCAUUUACAUAUAAUUUUAAAAAAUCAAUAGGACACUUACAGAGCACCUCCUACAGCUGGACCGGCAGUUUUGGUAAGCGACACCACUGUCAUAGCAAGUCCAUUAGCAGCUCCUCUUUGAUGCUGUUCCUGUUAUUAUACCAUAAACCAAAAAAAUAAUUUAAACUUUUGACACAUACAAAACUUGAAAAAGCUGAAAGCAUGGAAAUGUACUAAACAAACAAAAGAAAAUAUAUUUACCACUGCUCUGUUUUGCAGAAGGAACAAUCCAGUUAUUAUAGACACCUGAUGUUAUAAUUCAGGAAAAGUGAAAGAGAAUUACAACAUUUCUGAUAAAGAAGAUAUAAAAUAAUUUUUAUACAUACUUGCUAAUGGGUAAUACAACCUAAGUAUAUGAUGGGUGUCGAAGCCAACAAAAAUAAAUUCCUACUCUAAAUAAAUUGUGUAUAGUGAUUGAGCAGGGUCGUGUCCACAGAGAUCGGUAAUUAUUUAAAUCCUUUUGAAACGUAAAACGUAAAAUGGGGGAAUUGUUGACAAUAAUAAAAAUCAAAUUGAAAUAAACAAGAAUGCAAAUUAAAGUUGUAAUUCAAAUUGGAGAAAGCUCUGGUUGAAGGAAUUAACUCAGCUUGAUUCGACUACUGAUCAUUGAUUCAAAUAUAGAUUAUUAUUAUUACUUAUGAAUAGAUCGGUUAUAGCUACUGGGACCCUCUAAUAGCCAAUCUCUCCUUAACUAGUCGAUAACCAAGGUACGACCGUUGGUUAUUUCCCUAAUCAAUAGACAACCCUAGAUACGAUCAUAGGAUUUAAUCAAUUGACAGCCUGAGAAACCAGAGAGACCCAAAUCCUAAUCAACACAUAUGAUGAUUCAUUUAAAUUAGAUUGUUUAUUCUCACAACACAACUCUCUGCUAUGUUAUUUGUCACAAACAUUAAAUUCUUCAUACGAUGAAUCCUUUAAUUGACAAUAGAUUAAGUUGAUAAUUAAAUAGUGGCCAAUUACCUAAUUAACAAACAUAAUCAUGAAACUAAUUUAGAGAAUAAACAAAUACCCAAAAAGCAAUAAAACAAUUAAAGCACAAGAAAGAUCUCACAGUAGUGAUGAAUCAAAGCUUCAUUAUCCUUCAACCAGAAAAAUGGGUUUAGUUCCUUAUAGAGAGAAGAGAAAAAUUAGAUCUAGGGUUUCUUUUUCUCCAAUCCAAAAAUCCCCCUUUUUCACAAUAGAUUCCUCCCUUCAAUACUCUCUCUCUCUUCUCUUUUAGAAUUCUAUUUAAAAUAAAAUACUAAUAUCUGAAAUAUUAAAUUCGUAAUUACAAAAAUAACCAAAAAUACAAAACACGUUAAACUAAAAACUGCAGGUCCGCAGUUGACAGCACGCGCCCACGCCUUAUCAACAAAGUUCUUCUGACGCUCAGAAAUUUCUCCAAGAGAACAAUCCUCCUUAAACAUCAUCUUUUAGCUCAAUUUUAUCAUCAAUCAAUAGAAUUGCACCUACAAAAGUAAAACACAAGUAAAACAUUAUUAUUAAAUGCAAAACAUCGAUAUUAAGGGAAGUAAAUAAUGCAAAACUAGUGCAUAAAUUGCACUCUAACAAAUUCUCCCACACCAAGAUGAUGCUUGUCCUCAAGCAUAUAACUCAAGAUUAAUCCCAAAUCUCCACUCAAUUCUCAUCUCAACUCAUCCAAAAAUAAUUUUAAGCAAGCAUACCUCAAGAAAUUAAGUCGAUCAACAUUCGAGAGACAAGGAUUUUAAAGCAUAGAAUCUCAUAAGAUAGAAUAAGAACAUUCAACCACCAAGAAGAUCCAUUCAAAAUUCAAGUGCAACAAGAUGUAAUAGCCCUCUCAAUAACUUCACUCCAUGCACUCAAAGUGUUUAGGGUGUCAUUUAUCCACUCAAAUCAAAUCAAAGAAUGCUAUUACCAUAAGCUUGCUCAUAAAUCACAUCUCAAUCCACAAAACAUGAAUAAAAUGCAAAAAUCUAAGGGUCUUAAAAGGGUUGUAAUGGGGUUAAAUGGGUUAAAUGAAAAAGAAAGGUUUACGAAAGAAAAAGAGAUCAAAAUGAGAAGAAUGAACUCAUUGAAUGAACUUAUGAUAUCAAAAUGCUUAUUUCUACUCAAGUCACCAAGAAUGUAAACAUUUUUUUUUUCGAUUUUUCUUUUUCUUUUUUUUUUCUUUUUCUUUUUUUUUCUUUUUCCUUUUCUUUUUCUUUUUUUUUCAUUUUUUUUUGUUUUUUUUUUUUUCGAAUCAAACAAAAGAAACGAACCUUGCACAAUUGAAUUCAAGCAUAAUGCUUGUUGAUCUAAUUGAGAAACUUUAAUACAAGGUAGAAAAAGCAACAAAAUAUAUCCAUACAAUGAGUCCAAAAAUCUCCUUAAAUUGAGGCUCAAAAAGAAGAAAAAUGGUUAAGUAGACGGAGAGAAUUAGAUGGGUAAUGGUUAAGGCUCAAACAAAGGUAGCAAAUAAAGGUCUUCGGGUAAAGAAAAAUGAAAAUGCGAGAAUAGAAAAAUGGUAAAUGGUUUGCCCUUAUCAUUUUAAUGCCUAAAAUCCCGUAAUGUGGCUUCAACAUGCAUAACAAAGCAAGUUCUAGAAUAAACAAACUAGGAUUGAUAUUCACAUAACAAAAAUAAUUAGAGCAAAGUGGUUGCUCAUAGGCUCAAAUCCUCACAAAGUUGGUAAAUUUGCCAUCAAAUCAUGUACACUCUUCAAAUGAAUCAACCAUCAAUAGUGGUGUAGAAUGAGAAGAAGGUAUGAGUGAUAUAUAAAAGGAAAGGUAAAAAUGAUAAGAAGUGAGAAAGAUGAAAAGUGAAAGAUAAAAUGUGAGUGAUGAAAGAGUAUGAUAGAAUAAAAAUAGAUGUAAAUAAUUUGAGAUAGAUGGGAAAAAAAAAAAAAGUAGUGAGAAAUAAAAGAAAAGAAAAAAUAAUAAUAUAUAAAGCAUACUAACUCCAAAAUCAUUUAAGGAUGAGUAGAGUGAAAAAAAAAAAAGAUAAGUAGAGUGAAAACAAUAAUUCCAGCAUCAAUAAUGCAAAAAUCCCUCCCCCACACCAAGAACUUACAUUGUCCCCAAUGUAAGAUAAUCAAAGCUCACAUAAAAAUUAAAGCAUAAGGAUAAAAGUUAAAGGGCAAAAAGAAACUUCCCUGAAUUGUGAGCUUUGAUCCACAUAACGUCUAUGGGCUUGGCGGAAAUGGUGGGGUAAAUCCCACACUCUCAAAGUAUGCGGCCAAAUUCUGCUCCAUUUUGUUCAACUUGUGCUCCAUUUUCUCUAACUGAAUGCUCAAAGGUGGUGCGGAUGUAGAAGGAAUAGUUGGCGGGGCAACAGUGUCGUCGUCAAACUCGUCAUCAGAGGUAGCACCACUCCUAGCAUAAAGCUUCUUCGGAAGUUGAGUGGGUCCUGGUUCAGUAAACUGAAAUCUCCCCUCCUUGAAUUCAACCACACCUGUUCUUUCAAACACAAACAUAUCCAAAAAUUCCUUUUUGCAAGCAGGAUGCAAAUCAUUAUUGUCAGGAUCAAGCACACAUAGGUUUAUAGCUAACAGAGUAAUGUAUGGACCAAGAAAUAAAGUCCUAUACCGUUUAAGCACACUUUGAAAUUGAUCCGCUAACCAAAAACCUAAAUUAGGCCUCACAUCAUUUAACAUGCACCAGAUAAAAUAAAAUUCAGUUUUAGAGAAAAUUCCUGAGUGAUAUUUCUUGCCUAAAAAAUUAUAUGCUAAGAAUCGAUGCACACAUUUCAAAACAGGAUCACGUAAGAAAGAACUCUUUGAUUUACUCGGGUCAUAGGCAUUGUGAUCAACAGAUAAAUUACGCCAAAGACCAUAAGGCUCAAAAUUUUUGCUAAAGUCACAAGUUGUUCCUAAAUAUUCAUCACUAGUAGAAUAAUCAUCAUCAAUGAAUCCUAAAGCUAGGUUAAAAUCCGUGAUAGAGUGUGAAAAACUUCGUCCCAUUAACCUAAACUUAAUGACAUCCGGGGUAUGCAAAGUAAAAUCAUUCGGCAUAGUGAAUUGAAAAGUAGCAUAAAACUCCCUAAUCAACUCAACAUAACCCAAGCAAUCAACAUCAACAAACUUACGCAACCCAAUCUUAUCUAUCAAAGAAUCAAAAUUAUCUUUAACAUUUAAUUUUUCAAGAGUCGGGUAAUGAAUAUACUUAGCUGGAAGUAUUUUGCGCGUGGAAAUAUCUUUGUACCUCUCUUUCUCUUGUUGAGUCGCGAAUGCGAGGCACCCUCCGAGAUUGGAUUCCGCAAGUGGCAAAACACUCAUGCCUUUUUCAUGCUUCGAUCUUUGUCUCACGGCUUGGCGUGAAUCUGAAAUUAUGUUCCAUGGAACCGUAGUGGGAGCGGCAAUCUUAGAUUUCUUUGCGACGGGUGUCUUUUUCGACGACUUGGAAGUAGAUGCUUUCCUCUUCGGCAUUGUUACAAUAAUUGCACUCACGGAUUUCGAUUUACUCGGCUGGAAUACAGGGCGUAGGCUGGUUGUGUUGCGCUUGCUGCUCGGCUGGAGCUUGUUGCGCGAGUUGGGGCUGGUUGUGCGCGCUGCUGAGGCUUGCUUUGCGGGUGCUGGUUCGUUGCUGUGUUGCGCGCACGGGGCUGUUGCGCGGGAGAGCCAGUUCACGUUGCGGGUCUGCGUUGCGGAUCUGUUGCGCUGCGCGCGCGGGACUGAUGUGCUGUGCUGAGGCUGAUUCGCGCUGCUGCUGGUUGCGGUGCGCGAUGCUGUGCGCGGCGGCUGGGGCUGCUGGAGCUUGCUGCUGGUUCUGGGCGUACUCGUCUGCUGCUGCUGGUUGCGCGGUGAAGGCUGGAGCUGAUGCUGCUGUAAAACGAUAAUCAACAGUAAUUUUGGAAUUAGGGAUUUGUAAACAGUGAUUUUCGAUUUUUGGUUUUUUUUUUUUUUAUAUAUAUAAAUAAAUAUAGAAAAGAAAGAAAGGAACGAAAAUAAAUAAAUAAAUGAUGAUUUUCGAUUUUCGAUUUUUGGUUUUUUUUUUUUUUUUUUUUUUUUUUUUUUUUUUUUUAGUGAUGAAUCACUUUGAGACACUAAAAAUUUCAGAAGUACUUUUCUAAUAAGUACGUGGGCACGCCUUAUCAAAAAUUUUCUUCUGACCAAAAUAAGCAAACAAAUUAAAUUUCAGAAGUACUUUUCUAAUAAGUACGUGGGCACGCCUUAAAACUUUGUGACAUUAAAAAUCACAGAAGUACUUAUUAGUUAAGACGUGGGCACGCCUUAUCAAAAAUUUUCUUCUGACCAAAAUAAGCAAACACAUUAUUUAUUUUUUUUAAAAAAAAAAAAAAUCUGAAUCAAAAUUAAAAGAAGAUAUAACAAAAACCAAAAUAAAUAAAUCAUUUGGGUUGCCUCCCAAAAAGCGCCUUUGUUUUAUGUCUUUGGCUAGACACAUUUAUGCAUCAAUCUCCAUAAUUGGGACUCUCGAGAGCCACAUCCUCCAUAAUAUUCACCGAAAAACCUUCAUAAAAAGGUUUUAAGCGAUGACCAUUAACCUUAAAAACUUUGUCAGAGGUCGGACUCCGAAUUUCAACUGCACCAUGAGGAAAAACAUUAGUAACAAUAAAAGGUCCAACCCAGCAAGAACGUAAUUUACCCGGAAAAAGUUUAAGCUUAGAAUGAAAAAGAACUUUUUGACCAACAGAGAACUCCUUUAUCAAAAUCAUUCUAUCAUGAAAUGUCUUCGUCUUUUUCUUGUAAAAAACUUCCUGCACUAUAGGGUUAAUAACAUCCACAGAGAAUAUUGAAUGUUCCUCACUAGGAUAUUUCAUGGCAUCAUUCAUAUUGAAUUCUAUAACCUCUCCAUCAAACUCCAUAGUGAGAGUCCCUUUAUGUACAUCCAUUUUAGUCCUAGCAGUCUUAAGAAAAGGUCUUCCUAGCAAAAUUGGGACAGAAUUAGAGGAGUUAUCAUCUUCCAUAUCAAGUACAUAAAAAUCAGCAGGAAAAACCAACUCAUUAACUUGUACUAAGACAUCUUCUAAUACCCCAUCAGGAUAUGCAUUAGACCUAUCAGCUAGUUGAAUUAUCACGCCAGUUUCUUUUAAUGGACCAACAUUCAAAGAUGAAUAAAUGGAACGAGGCAUGACAUUAAUAGAAGCUCCUAGAUCUAACAUAGCCUUUUCAACUCUAACACUACCAAUUUUACAAGGGAUAGUAAACAUACCUGGAUCCUUGCACUUAGGAGGUAGUUUCUUUUGGAGAACUGCUGAAACAUUCUCCCCCAUGUGAACUUUUUCAUCUCCUCUUAAUUUUCUCUUGGAGGUGCACAGUUCCUUAAGGACUUUAGCAUAUCGAGGUAUUUGUUUUAUAGCAUCUAACAAAUGAAUAUUUACCUCAACCUUGCGAAAUGUCUCAAGGAUGUCUUUAUCUUGUUCCUUCUUCUUGGAUUUUGCAAACCGGCUUGGAAAAGGAGGAGGUAUCACAAUAGGUAGGGGUUUCGCUCUUGUGGGUUGUGCAUCUUGAGAUUGAGGCAUCAAUUCAUUCUUCUCAAGCUCAUCUUCUACAUGCUUUGUCACUUUCUUACUAGGCUCUUGCAACUCCGUCCCACUUCUAAGGAUGACAGCACUAACGUUUUCCUUUGGAUUCACCUCAGAUUGUGAAGGCAAUCUCCCUAAUACUUGAGACUCCAGACGGCUCACUGUAGUCGCCAAUUGACUCAUUUGGUUCUCCAAGUUCUGAAUGCUUGCUGUAGUUGCCUGCUGAAAUUGUUGAGUGUUAGUCGCAAGUGAUUUAACAAUUUCUUCAAGAGAUAUACCUGACUUGGAGUUUGACUGUGGAGGUGCUGGUUGUCUUGGUGGAUACUGUUGUGGGAAUCCUGAUUGCCUAACUCCAUAGCUGAAGUUGGGAUGAUCCUUCCAUCCCGGAUUGUAUGUUUGUGCAUAAGGAUCAUACCUCCUCUGAGGCAUGCCUGGAAAUCCUCCAACUGCAUUGGCUUGUUCAACGGGUUCUUCUUGAAGUGUAGGACACAUAUCAGUUGAAUGACCCAUAUUGUAACAAAUGCCACAAGUCUUCACCUGUUGCACAUUACCUACAACAAACUUUUCCACAAGAGAAGUAAGUUUAUCUAAACGUUGUUCAACAGAAGAAAUAUUUACCUCAUUCACCGUUCUUGAAGUGGCAUCUUGUCUGCUGCCAAAUUGUUGUGCAUUGGCAGCCAUAUUUGAGAUCAACUCCCUUGCUUGAGUAGGGGUCUUGUUCACCAACACACCUCCACUAGCAGCAUCUAUCAUACUCAUAUCCAUCAAUGACAGUCCUUCGUAAAAAUAUUGAAUAAGAAGUUGAUCAGAAAUCUGAUGCUGAGGACAGCUGGCACACAAUUGUUUGAAUCGCUCCCAAUACUCUUACAAAGUCUCCCCAGGAAGUUGUCUGAUCCCACAAAUAUCUUUUCUGAUGUUGGCAGCUCUUGAAGCAGGAAAGUACUUCUCAAGGAACUGCUUCUUCAAACCAUUCCACAUUGUAAUCGAUCCAGGAGGCAAGUAGUACAACCAAUCUUUAGCUAGCCCAUCUACAGAGAACGGAAAAGCACGCAGCUUAAUCUGCUCUUCAGUCACGCCUUGUGGCCUCAUACUUGAGCACACAACAUGAAACUCCUUAAGAUGUUUAUGAGGAUCUUCACCUGCAAAACCAUGAAACUUGGGUAAUAAAUGAAUAAGACCAGACUUUAAUUCAAAAUUUACCUCCAAAUCUACAUAUUGAAUGCAGAGUGGUUGCUGAUUCAAGUCUGGUUCAGCUAACUCUCUAAGAGUUCUUUCUACAGGUGCAGGUCUAUCCAUCACUUGUUCUUCUGAAUCACUAGAUGAUUCAACUAAAUCAGGCACCGUAUCUGUUUCAGAAAGCAAAGGCGACGAGGAUCGUUGCUUAGCUCGCUUUGUCUGCUGUCUCAGCUGGUGAGCUGUCUUCUCAAUUUCAGGAUCAAACGAAAGUGUACCUGUACGAGAAGAACGAACCAUACACCAAGUAAAACGUAAAAAGGAUUAAAUAAAUGACACCAAUCCCUGGCAACGGCGCCAAAAUUUGAUGGGUGUCGAAGCCAACAAAAAUAAAUUCCUACUCUAAAUAAAUUGUGUAUAGUGAUUGAGCAGGGUCGUGUCCACAGAGAUCGGUAAUUAUUUAAAUCCUUUUGAAACGUAAAACGUAAAAUGGGGGAAUUGUUGACAAUAAUAAAAAUCAAAUUGAAAUAAACAAGAAUGCAAAUUAAAGUUGUAAUUCAAAUUGGAGAAAGCUCUGGUUGAAGGAAUUAACUCAGCUUGAUUCGACUACUGAUCAUUGAUUCAAAUAUAGAUUAUUAUUAUUACUUAUGAAUAGAUCGGUUAUAGCUACUGAGACCCUCUAAUAGCCAAUCUCUCCUUAACUAGUCGAUAACCAAGGUACGACCGUUGGUUAUUUCCCUAAUCAAUAGACAACCCUAGAUACGAUCAUAGGAUUUAAUCAAUUGACAGCCUGAGAAACCAGAGAGACCCAAAUCCUAAUCAACACAUAUGAUGAUUCAUUUAAAUUAGAUUGUUUAUUCUCACAACACAACUCUCUGCUAUGUUAUUUGUCACAAACAUUAAAUUCUUCAUAUGAUGAAUCCUUUAAUUGACAAUAGAUUAAGUUGAUAAUUAAAUAGUGGCCAAUUACCUAAUUAACAAACAUAAUCAUGAAACUAAUUCAGAGAAUAAACAAAUACCCAAAAAGCAAUAAAACAAUUAAAGCACAAGAAAGAUCUCACAGUAGUGAUGAAUCAAAGCUUCAUUAUCCUUCAACCAGAAAAAUGGGUUUAGUUCCUCAUAGAGAGAAGAGAAAAAUUAGAUCUAGGGUUUCUUUUUCUCCAAUCCAAAAAUCCCCCCUUUUUCACAAUAGAUUCCUCCCUUCAAUACUCUCUCUCUCUUCUCUUUUAGAAUUCUAUUUAAAAUAAAAUACUAAUAUCUGAAAUAUUAAAUUCGUAAUUACAAAAAUAACCAAAAAUACAAAACACGUUAACCUAAAAACUGUAGGUCCGCAGUUGACAGCACGCGCCCACGCCUUAUCAACAAAGUUCUUCUGACGCUCAGAAAUUUCUCCAAGAGAACAAUCCUCCUUAAACAUCAUCUUUUAGCUCAAUUUUAUCAUCAAUCAAUAGAAUUGCACCUACAAAAGUAAAACACAAGUAAAACAUUAUUAUUAAAUGCAAAACAUCGAUAUUAAGGGAAGUAAAUAAUGCAAAACUAGUGCAUAAAUUGCACUCUAACAGUAUAUGGAUCAAUGAUUAGGAUAUCCACUUACAGAUUAAACAUUCUUCAUCACAGAAGCACAGUUUAUCAAUAAGGCAAGGCUGAACCCAGAUAACAUUGCUAUGUAAGUGUAACUUGUCAAAAGCGGUAUCGAUAAAACCUGUACAUACAUAGAAAAUUACGUCACCAAAUCCAUGAAGAAAAGUAUUUUAUAAACAAAUAUGUUUGAGACAAACUAUCAAAUGAUCUAAAUGCCACAUGGUGUGUUCAAAAUUUUACCCCUGCAAUGCGUGUUAUUAUUAUUGGCCCGAUCAUCCUCUCAACGUAAGGGUACAUAGUAAGUUGAAAAACAAGGAGAAUGAAAUCUAUAGUAACUUCAAAAUGAGGACAAUCGUCAAGCAGUUUUGGGGGGUUGAUGCAUGAGAAAAGAAGUUAAGAGGAACGAGUAACAUUUUCAGUUUCGUAAUAAGUAUAAAUGGGGAGCAAGAGUAUCAGUUUUGCACCUGAGAUGGCAAGAACUUGGCCAACAUUUUCGGUUGAGUAACUCAGACCCCCGUACUUCCACCGGCUGAUAGCCCACAGUGAAAAUAUCUAACAGAAUAGUUGCAAUAUUAUGAUUUAAAAAAAUUACACAGAUAAGAAAUUCUUAGGAUCAGUAAUAGCCAUAUGUCUUCUUUAUGUAUAAAACUCUCAACAAUCCCAUCAACAGCAAUAGCACCCUCUGUUUCAGGUAGAAGUUAAGAGAUAACUUUGCAAAUAUCUAACAGAAUGCGAUCUGAUCCAGGAUCCUGGACUUUAUUCAAGUUCGGGAAAGCCAUUGGUCAUUGGACUAUUAAACCAUAUGGCUUAAUAACUUUCCCGAACAUUAACAUAGUUUAGAUUUUGGAUUGGAACAUUUUUAUGUCAUAAUAAAGUAGAAUAUAUAUAUAUAAACAAUCAAGUAGAGAUAUUUAUACCUCGGUGUAAGCGAUAUCAUGAAGCGAGAAAACACAAUAAACAAUAAUAGAAGAAAUAAAGGGCCAAUUCUUCAUGAGGCUUUUCUUAGCAGUGGCCUCCUCACUUCCUUCAUCUUGUUUAAAUUCUGCAUUGGACCCACAGGAUGCGGAUUCCAAAGCAUCACAUGAUACAUCAAGUGAUACACCAUCUUCAUUGUGUUUGUGCAAUGUCUCACACUGAUCCAUAGUUGAGAGAGGCUGUGGGGAAGUUAAUGGAGUUGAAGGAGAGGGAUAAUGAUAAUGAAGAUUACUCUUCAUAUGCUAGUGAGGAUUAUGUCUACUCUUCUAGAGCAAUGACUGAUGAGGACUUCUCAUUCUCAGUAACUGGCUGAACUCAACUUAUUUUUUCUUUCUUUGGCUUUUGGCAGCUGAUGUUCUUUUUGGGGUUAGUAGAAGGAAGGAUAAAGCUGGCAAUUAAAGGAAGCCAUUUAUGUUAAUCUUAGUAAUUUCCCCAUAUAUAGAUAUAUCUUUGAAUGUUUUUAACUUUUGCAAGGUUCAUUAUGUAACGAGGCAGUGACACUGAUUAAACUUGUAUUAUUAUUAUUAUUAUUAUUAUUUUGAAUAGAAGCAAAUUGAUUGUGUUAUGGGUUUCUUUUGCUUCCCAUCGGAUUAGCAACUGGCACUGGCACCGGCAUGAUUGGCAAAGGCCAAGUUGAAGCUGCCUGCAGACUCUCAGUGGACUGAAUUACAUAUUACAUAAUACAAGUGAAAGGAAGGGACUCGUAAAGCUUUAUUGUCGUAGUUUGGAUAAGAUUAAGAAUUGCUGUCGCUUCUUGUCAGAUUGCAUUGAAACGCUAGUAGUCGCUGCUGCGAGCAUUGGUAUUAGAAGAUUAGCACAAGCAGCCCCUACCUAUCAUGGACUCUGAUGUUAUGGACCUUACGGAUAUCAAUUACCUAGUUAAAAGCUAGUUAAAAGCUACCUCCAUAUUUUUUAUUUUUACCCUAAUGCAUGUCUGAUUCUUUUAAAAUUUUACGUUAUAUAUAUUAAACAAAUAUUAUAAUUUUAAUCAUUGAAAAAUUAAUGACAGACAUCUUUUGAAUAAUUUUUUUUUUUAAAAAUACAGAGCUAGAGAAAAUGCUAUAAUUGAUUGAAUAAGAAGGCUACAACUUGAUGAUAACUUUAUUGCAAUGUUGCGUGAUCUCAAUAUAUUAUUGGCUUAUGUGUGAGUAAAAGUUGCUGGCUCCUGUUUUACUAAUUUGCCUUUGAAUUUGACUGGCUCGACAAAGAAUCGAUUUACCUCAUACUCAAAUUACAAACAUCGAAACCGGAUCUGUCAUUACGUUAAUUGGCCUCCUAAAAUAAUCAAUCACUUUCUCUUUAGUCUACCAUCCACGCUUUCCAGUCGCUUAGUUUCAUUCUAAUCAUCUAAACGGCUCUUUGCUACUGUUUCUUCUAUUUGUCAUUGUUCUUGUUCUGUUAUUAUUUAGCUUUGCUCACUCCUGAGUCUCAUUUCUUAUUCUGUACCCAUCAGCUCUUUUAGCUCUUUACGUCGUGAUAGAAACCCUUUUCUUGUUUCCUUCAUCUCAUCUGAAAAACACAAUUGCUUGUCCUAUCGCUGUCUCUUUGUUUUUACUUUCCUUUGGCCUUCUUCGCUUCUACGUUUUUGUCAGGAUUCGAGAUGCUGGAAAUCAUUGUGACUAUCGUCUUGGAACUUGUAAAAUGCUUGGCUCCUCCAACUGCACGCCAACUUGUUUAUUUGCGAUAGCGGAACUACAAUGCCAACUUUGAGAAUAUCAAGGCGGAAAUGGAGAAGUUGAAGGUUGAACGUACGAGCAUUCAGCGCAAAGUUUCAGAGGCGAAAGAAAAAGGGGAAGAGAUUGAAGAGAAGGUUGAAAAGUGGCUGGUUAGUGCGAAGUGCGAACGGCAUCAUUGACCGGGCAGCCAAAUUCAUUGAAGAUGAGGAGUCAACAAAUAAGCGCUGUCUCAAGGGCUUGAGUCCUAAUUGGAAGAGUCGCUAUCAGCUUAGCAAGAAAGCAGAGACGGAGGUGAAGGCCAUUAUUGAACUUGGAGAAGAAGUUAAGAAGUUUGAUACUGUUUCCGUAUCAUUCCGGAGGAGAUACGGCUCAAGUCUAGCAAUGGUUACGAGGCCUUCAAAUCAAGACUUUCUACUUUGCAGUCUAUAAAAAAUGCAUUGACUGAGGCGAAUGUCAGCAUUAUUGGGGUGUACGGCAUGGGCGGCAUUGGAAAUACGACAUUGGUGAAGGAGUGUGCUAGGCAAGCCAGGGAAAGGAAGCUGUUUGAUCGGGUGGGUUUUUCAGAGGUUUCACAAACUCCUAACAUAAAAAAGAUUUAAGGGGAAAUUGCAGAGAAGUUAGGUCCGGAGUUGUCCGACGAAGCUGAAUAUAGAAGAGCAAGCAGGCUGUAUGAACGAUUGAAGAGUGAGAAUAAGAUUCUUGUGAUUCUAGAUAACAUCUGGAAACAUCUUGAAUUGGAGACGGUUGGAAUUCCUUUUGGAAAUAAUCAUAAAGGAUGUAGACUGUUGCUGACAGCAAGAGAUAAUAAUGUGCUUUUAAGUAUGGGCUCCAAAGAUAACUUUUUGAUUGGCAAUCUAACUGAACAAGAAGCCUGGAGAUUGUUUAAGAUAAUGAAUGGUGAUGAUGUUGAAAAUUGUAAGUUCAAGUCUACAGCAAUUAAUGUAGCUAAGGCAUGUGGAGGUUUGCCAAUUGCGUUGAGGGCACUGAGAAACAAGAGUCUCCAUGAAUGGAAGAAUGCCUUGCGAGAGCUCCGAACGCCUUCAAUGGUAAACUUCGAAGGUGUGCCUGCAGAGACUUAUUCAAGUAUUGAGCUGAGUUUCAAUUAUUUAAAAGGUGAGCAAGUCAAGAAAAUUUUUCUGCUUUGUGGACUAGUAGGUAACAGUGUUUGGUUUUCAGACUUAUUUAGAUACUCCAUGGGUUUGGGCAUAUUUCAAGGAGUCAACAUUCCCUUCAUAUUUACCAAAGGUAAGUGAUAAAUCCUACAUAUCCCACUCAAGAAUGCAUAAGUUUCUUCAAUCUCAAGUACCUAAAGUUUUCUUCUACGUUUAUAAAAAUUUCAGCACCAUCUCCCUAUAAUUCUCCAAGCUCACGACAUAGCUAUAUAAGUGUUUAUGCGUUAUGCCAAAACAACACAUGACACCCGCUCACCUAGAACGUACCCAGAGAACACGAGGAGCAGCUACCGAAAAAGCCAUAUUUACGUGGGAAAAAAACUUCAGCUACUAGCUACCAGAGAGACCUAUGCAUUCCCAAACUGUCCAAGCCUGGACAAUUCAAGAAUUAUUAAUAGACAUAUGAUCCUCACUAUCAUCCAAAGAUGACACUAAUACAACAUGUGUCUAUUAAUAAUUUCUUAAACAAGUCUAAGCUUUCAAUGCACGUAUCAAAAGUUUAAAAUUGAAUCUGAAAUUUGAAUAACACAUAAAUAUCAUAAAUCUCUUCAAUUUAUUCCUGAUACAAUGUAGCAUUAUUUCAGAGAUCAUUUCUUAAGCAAAACCAUAAAAAAUACAAACGAUAAAUACAUUUUCCCACUGAUGCAGAUUAUGUUUACUGAGCAAUAAGUUUUAAGCCAUUCAUGUUGAAAUACUUCUGCCUGUUCUUUCAACAUAUAACUAGUACGUACACACAAUUAAUAAAUUAAAAAAAAAAAAACUGGUGGUGAAUCUGCAAAAUCUUCCUUUUUUUCUUUUUUUUUCUUUUUCUUCUUUUUUUGGGGGGGGGGGGUGUUGGGGGAACUAUGAAUCUUGCAAAUCCUCAAGAAGCUAUGUUAAGACAAGGCCAGCUUACUAUUAGGGUAUGAAAGAUAAAACCUUUUAUUUCCUUUUCAGAAUAAAAAGAACAUUGACAGUGUUAAAAAAAUCUAGAGGAUUUCAGGCCUCCAGAUCCUUACAAAUCAAGGAUAUUAAAAAAUUUACUUAGAGGAGAAUGGUUAUGCUCAUUUGUAUCUUGUUAGAAGAAAUUGAUCCAAAGCCUCAGUUUUAAUUAGCUUCAUAUAGCCAAUGAUUAGGUGUUUAAAAACCAAUGAAUAUUUUUAUAAGAAAUCGACAAUAUUGUUGAAAGAAAAACCAAAUAAAAAUAAUAAAGCCAAUGAAUAGAUCAAGGCUCUUUGUGGUCUAAAACUAAUCAAACUAAGUUGUGGGCAAAGGCGAAUAUGUUUGUUUGGUCAAUAAUAAGCUCAACAAAUCACUAAUAAUCACCUAAUCACUAUUCCUUACGCUAUGCAAUAUAAUGGCCUGGGUAAUGGCGCCAAGGCAGACAUUAACUAGCUAGCCAGUUAUGAUAGUUGAUUAACUUAACCUACUGGAAAUCUGAAGACCAAAACGAAGAAGCUUUGUCUAGAACUAGAAUAGGAACAUUCGUACCCAAAACUAAUAUACACAAUUAAGAAACUUGAUUAUAUGUAUAUUUCUGUUGGCCACACUUAAAGAGAAUUUUCAAAAGAUGCUAAGGUACACCAAAUCCCACUAUUUCAUACUCAUAAACACAAAAAACCAUGGCAAAAAUUAAUGACUAUAUCAAAUAAAAUCGGUGAUAGGACAUUGAGAUUAGGACAACUUGAUUUGUAUACCGUAAAAUAACUAUAUCUGCAUGGUGAACUAUAUUUCUGUUAGAACUCUGAAGUUUUCUAUUAAGUUUUUUUCUGUUAGGUAAACCACUUAACUGAAGUGCUUAAGCCAAUAUUGACAAUCAUAGACAUAAAAGUAUUAAUAGGCUCAUUCAAGUGAAAUGAGCAUUAUUUCACACAUCCUUUAGGUUUUUAAGUCAUUUAGAAGUCAUUCAUGUUAAAAAAAAAAAUUCAUAUACUUUCAAUAUAAUUAGAACAUACACAAUUAAUUAAUUAAAUAAAUCUUUUUCAGCUAGUAUAGGAACUUAAUUAAUCAAAGCUAGUAGUUAUAGCUAGGACUUGAACGAGGCACCUUUCAAAGUUCAAGAAGAGCAUCUGAACAGAAUGAAAGCACUUUGUAGAAAUGGUAAUGAUGCUUUACAUCUACAUGCUCUUACACAAUAUGAACUUUCAUUUAUUCAAGAACAUAACACUACUCCAAGCUCUUAUUCUACAAGUCAAUUCAGUUUGUAGAUGCACGCCAUUGUAAAAACUUUUGCAUUAUAAUUUCUGAAAAUAGAACGUAACAUUAUUAGUAUAGAAUCAGCAAUGUAAAUAACUUAUCAGACAAUAUAACAAGCACUUGGUGAGCAUACAAGAAAAACUAAAACAAGUUAUCUAGAUAAUGAAACUAAAACCCAAGCUCCGCUAUUCAUUGUAGAAGCUUUAAACAUAAAAUUAAAGUAAAUCUAAUAGCAAAACAUUAGAAUGGAUAUUGAAAUUAAAGCUAAAUUCAAUAGUAAUUCAAAUGAAUCCAUUUGAACUUUGUAAAUUCCGCAGAACAAAAUUAAUUUGAGUGAGCAAACUCACCAAAAUUAAAAAGAUAUUGCUGGCGGGAAAAAAAUUGACAAUAACAGCUACAAUACGAAUUUAAAAAAAAAAUCAAAAUCUAUAAUUACAAGCUUAACUCAAAAGAUGAAGGGAGAAUACGAUGAAGAAGAAGAUGGCUGGUGUUUUACGCCGUUCGCCGGCAACCAGUUAGGUUUACGAUGGUGGCUAGUAACACGGAGUCCAGCGAAUAGUUUUCUAACUGGAAAUAAAUUUAAAAUUCUAAAAUAGUACCGAAUGGCUCGUUGCCGUCACGUGGUUAGUAACAUAUGUGACCGCAGUGUGGCCGUCACAUAAAAGGUAUUGGGGUUACAAAGUUAGUGAUAUACGUGAUGGCUGCUCUUGCAUUCACAUUAGGGAUCACAUAUACCCUAUUUUCUUGUAGUGCAUGGUAAAUUCUAUUUGAAAAUUGCUAAGUAUUUUAGAUUUGUACGAAUUCAUUUUUGUGUGCUCAUUGGAUAAUAAUAUAUAAUAAAUUAAAUUUUUGGUGUCAACCAUACCAUACCAUACCAUAAAAUCAAAUUUUAUCGUGUCAUUCUUCUUGGUUCAAAUUUUUGGAAACAAUAAUCAAAUGCAUCCAUGAACUAGUAUAUUCCGACAUAUAUAUAUAUAUUGAAAUUUUAAUAACAACAAUUGGGCCAAGCAUAUGUUGGUACUUGAAGAUUUAUAAGCUCCAUCCUUGAAAAAAAUAAGGCUUGACUGUUCUCAAUCUAAAAUUCUUUUUGUUUUAAGUUCUUAAUUAAGCUUUCUUGCUUGUUUUCAAGAGCCAGUUUUGUAAUGAUCGACAAACAUGACUUGCAUAUACUGCACUUGGCUUUUAUGUGUCACUUAUUAAUUAGAUUUAGAUUUUAUGUCUCAUGCACUCGCUAAUUAAGCUCUUAAUUAAGUGCUCCUUAUAUGGAUAUUGUGUCAAAACAAGUGCUUUCCAUACGGAUAUUGGAUCUAAAGAGAAAAUUAUCUUUAGGUAGUGUUGCCAAAUUUGGAGGCUUUGGAGCUGAAUGCUAUUAAUGUCGACGAGAUUUGGCAUGACAAUCAACUUACGGCCAUGAUUACUUGCUUUCAAAGUUUGAUACGAUGGAUAGUGUGGGGCUGUGACAAAUUAAAAUACAUAUUUUCAGCUUCUAUGAUCUUAAGCCUUAAGCACCUCCAACACCUGGAGAUACGGAUAUGUAUGGGUUUACAAGAGAUCAUCUUCAAAGACAGCAGAUCAAGUGACCCCAUAUUUUGUCUUUCCACAAGUGACCACUGUGAAUCUCGAAGGUCUACCAGAACUCAGAUGUUUAUACCCUGGAAUGCAUACUUCAGAAUGGCCAGCACUAAAAAAAUUGGAGGCCUGUAAUUGUGAUAAAAUAACGUUGUCCCAGAAUAACGAGAAUGAUCAAUUUGGUAUUCCGCCACUACAACCCCUGCUCUCGUUCAAGAAGGUAUGAAACCAAAAUUUAGAUUUUUUUUAUCAAUUAUCUUUGUUGUUCCUCACUCACAGAUCAGGAGGUUUAAUAACUACCUAUAUGGAGUUUUUUUCUAGUGGGAAUGCCCUUAUUUUUUACUUUUUUCAUGCGGAGAAGCUUUCAAAUCCCUCGGUUUAAGAGCGUGUUUGUAAUGAUCCACAAACAUGAUUUGCAUAUACAGUAUUGCACUUGGCAUUUAUGUAUCACUUACUAAUUAGAUUUAAAUUUUAUAAAUUAAUUAAACUGAUUAAUAUUUUAUAUGUGCACUGAAUGAUAGAUACUACAUAAAUUGGGACACUAUAACUACGUAUCCCAACUAUGUAAUAUUUGUUUGUCACAAACCCAAUCAUGACCUGAUAUUCUGAAUAUUAUUUAGGAUACCAUUUCAAGCCCCAUGAGGGCUCUUUCCAUUUUAAAAAGUAUGAAAUAGAUGUAGAUUUUUCUUUAGAUAUUAUCAGUGAGAGUACCUUUGGUGGCAGUGGUCCGGGAUGAUUUGUGUUAAGGAAGCUCAUUGAGCACGUGUGUCAAUGAUGAGUCAGCAGUUAGUUGGGUAAAGAAGCCAGCUCAGCAAAUCUGUUAAUCAUGUUUUACGUUCUGUUCUUCAGUUGUUAGUAAUGCUUUUAAUUCUGUUGAGAUAUGAGUUAGUAUAAAUAUGUUGUUAUUGUAUUUGUAAUUGUGAACGUGAGAUUCAAUAAAAAAUAAGUAGUUUCUAAGGAAAAAUCUUAUCAUUAUUUUCUUAGCUUCCAAACAACUUUUACAGUCACAAUUCAACUUUCAAACAUGGUAUCAGAGCCAGUAAGAGCAAGCUCUAGUGCUCAGCAAACAAAUCAACAAAGUCAAAUAAAUUUUUCUUUCAACACUCCAAUUAAACUAGAUCGAUCGAACUAUCUACUUUGGCGUUUUCAAGUUUUUGCUUCCAUAAGAGGCAAUCGAUUGGAAGGCUUCAUCAAUGGAACAAAACCAGCUCCUGAAGAAUAGUUCACUCAAGUUGUAGCUGAUGGAUCUAUUCAGAAAAUUGAUAAUCCAGAAUAUCAGAAUUGGAGAUCACAGGAUCAAACAUUGCUUGGAUGGAUGCUAUCAUCAAUAAGUGAAGGUACUCUAAAUCUUGUCAUAAAUUGUGGUAGCUCGUUUGAUGUUUGGAGAACUUUAGAAAAGAAAUUUGGUGUGCAAUCUGAAGCUAGGGUUCUUCAACUUAGAUAUGAGUUGAAUACUCUUAGGAAGGAAUCAAUGAGUAUUGAAGAUUACUGCAUCAAAAUGAAAAUUGUAGCAGAUAAGCUUGCUAGUGCUGGAAGUCCUAUAACAGAGAAAGAUCUCAUGCUGACAAUUCUUAAUAGCUUAGGAGCAGGUUAUCGUGAUAUUGCUACCUUUAUAACUGGCUCAAAAAUGGACUAUGAUGAUGCUUAUGCAUUAUUAUUGACUCAUGAAACCAGACUUGAACAAGAGCAGAAUGAUAAAAGCAUGUUUAAUGCAAAUUAUGCUUACACAAAUGCCUAUUAUCCAAGGGCAUUCUAUGCCCAAUCUAGAAAUAAUUUUAGAAGAGGAGGAUAUGCUGGUGCUCAGUUUGGUAAUACUGGUAGAAAUCAUACUGCUGGAAGAGGAAAUAUUUUUCAGUCUCCAAGGAUGUUUACUGGCAAUCACAGAGGUGGAUAUGGAAGAGGACACUCAUUUGGCCCAAAUAAUGUUAACUCUUUUCAUGCACCUAGGAAUCCAAUACAAUUUACUAGGACUGGAGUCACUAAUAUGAAUGGACCUCAAGGAAUUCCAAGUAAUGCAGAAGAAUUGGUUUGCCAGAUUUGCUUUAAGCUGGUCACACUGCUGAUAUUUGCUGGCAUCGAUUUGUGGAGGAUUAUGUCCCUUCUUCAAGAAGUCUAGGCAGAGGAAAAGGACCAAGAUCAGCAUAUAUUGCUAAUUUUGAUGGCUUUACAUAUCCAUAUCAAGGUUAUGAUAACUAUGAUAAUCAUCCUGCAUCUGAGACAAGCUGCUAUUCUGGAAUUGAUAACUAUGCACCUACAGAAGCUUAUGUGGCUAAUUUUGAAAGCUUUGCUGAUGAUGGCUGGUAUUUGGAUAGUGGGGCAACUCAUCACUUGACCAACAACAUGGAGAACUUGCAUUUUAAGGAAGACUACAAAGGUACUGAUCAACUCAUUAUUGGAAAUGGUCAAGGUCUGUCAAUUUCUCAUAUUGGUCAUGCAUUUUUAUCAUUUAGAGCUUCAAAACAUCCUUACACACAUGCCUCCACUAUAGCACUUAAAGAUAUGUUACUUAUUCCUACAAUCACUAAGAAUUUACUAAGCAUCUCCAAACUUACAUCUGAUAAUUCACUCUCUGUUGAAUUUUGUGGAAAUGUUUGUUAUGUUAAGGACAUGAAAGGGCAAGUUCUUCUGCAGGGCCUUGCUGAGAAAGGUCUUUACAAGCUGUUGAUGAAAUCUUCUUCCAUGUCAUCUUCUGCUUAUCAUACAUCACCUGCCUUUCAUCUUUCUCAACUUCAGUCACAUAAACCAAUAUCCAUGCUGUCAUGCUCAAAUGUGUCUUCUAUUUCUCAUCAUUGUAAUGUCUCAACUUCAGUCACAUAAACCAAUAUCCAUGCUGUCAUGCUCAAAUGUGUCUUCUAUUUCUCAUCAUUGUAAUGUCUUUGAUAAGACUUGUUUCAGCUCAAUUUCAAAUAAGUGUAACCAGAAACAUGAUGAACUUAUCUUGUUACACAGAAAGUUUGGUCAUCCAAGCUCAACAGUAUUGAUGCAUUUGCUUAAGACUUGUAAACAAGUUAAAGUCUCUCAAAAAUCAAUUUUAUCUCCUGAGCAUUCUAUGUGUGAAGCAUGUCAAUUAGGAAAAGCUCACAAGCAACAUUUUUCUACAACCGAAACCAAAACAACUCAAGUAUUAGAACUGAUACAUACUGAUCUGUGGGGGCCUUCACCUACUACAUCUAGAAAUGGUUUCAAAUACUACAUUAGCUUUGUAGAUGAUUACAGUAGGUAUACCUGGAUUUACCCACUCAAACUCAAAUCAGAAGCUUUUGAAGUUUUCAAAUUAUUCAAAAUCCAAGUAGAGAAUCAGUUCAAUACCAAAGUCAAGAUGCUGCAAUCUGACUGGGGGGGAGAAUAUAGAGUUUUUACUAACUUCUUAAACCAGAAUGGGAUCAUUUUCAGACAUUCAUGCCCUUACACACAUCAUCAAAAUGGUCUAGUAGAAAGAAAACAUAGACAUAUAAUUGAGUUAGCUUUGACUCUCUUAGCUCAAGCCAAUCUUCCUUUUAAAUUCUGGUGGGAAGCUGUUCAUACAGCAGUGUAUCACAUAAACAGAUUACCAACACCUGUAUUGAAACUCUUAUCUCCAUAUGAGAAGCUCUUUAAACAUAAACCAGAUUACAGCCUCCUUAAAUGCUUUGGUUGUCUUUGUUAUCCAAACUUGAGAGAUUUUAACAAACAUAAAUUUGACUUUCAUACCAGCAAGUGCAUCUUUAUUGGUUAUAGCUCAUCUCAUAAGGGAUAUAAAUGUCUUACAAGCUCAGGUCGAGUUCAUAUCCUUAGACAUGUUGUUUUUUAUGAAAGUGUAUUUCCAUAUACAACAUUCUCUGUUCCUUCUUCAUCUGAAAAUGUUGCCAACUCAGAAACACCAGUGUCAAAUUUCUCUAAACAGCAAGUCUAUCAUCUUUUAACUCUACCCUUAUUCAACAGCAGUUUUGAAGAUACUUUCUCAGCAGGUGUACCAAGUGAUGAACAAACUCCUGUUUUGCCUGAGCAUACAGAUAAUUUGAAUCAACAAGAAUCAUCUAGUUAUUCUUUAUCAGAACCAUCAAUAUCACAAGUUAUCCCUCAAAUCCCUGAAUCUACUCAAACACAACCUGAACCACAAACAAGCAAUCAACAACACUCAGAAUAUAAUCCAAACAGAAUUCAGAUCUCACAACCUACACACAAAAUGAUUACCAGAUCAAAGUCUGGAAUAUUCAAGCCUAAGUUAUAUACAGCCACCUUGACCAACAAAGAACCUGACACAAUUCAAAAAGCUCUGAAUGAUAAAAAUUGGUAUAAGGCCAUGAAAGAGGAAUAUGAAGCUUUGAUCAGGAAUGAGACUUGGUCUCUUGUACCACCUCCAGCUGAAUACAAAAUAGUUGGAAACAAAUGGGUGUUCAGGGUUAAACAAAAUAGUGAUGGCAGUAUAGCAAAGUACAAAGCUAGAUUGGUUGCUAAAGGUUUCCAACAAACUGAAGGGAUUGAUUAUUUCGAAACUUUUAGCCCUGUUAUAAAGGCUUCCACAGUGAGGGUUAUAUUAAGCCUGGCUGCAAUGCAGAGUUGGAUGAUCAGACAGGUAGAUGUUAAUAAUGCUUUUCUGAAUGGUGACUUAACAGAAGAUGUCUACAUGUGUCAGCCUGAGGAUUUUGUUGAUGAGAAGAGAUCAGGCUAUGUAUGUAAGUUGAAGAAGGCUUUAUAUGGUUUGAAACAAGCUCCCAGAGCUUGGUUUGAUAAACUAAAAGGCUGUUUGGUUGCAAACUGGGGAUUUCAAAAUUCCAGAGCUGAUACCUCACUAUUCUUUAAAGGAAAACAAGAUUCAAUGAUAUUAGUUUUGAUCUAUGUUGAUGACAUACUGAUAACAGGGCCUAACAGUGAUGAACUUGAAAAGUUUAUUUCAGACUUCAGCAAAGUGUUUGCAUUGAAAGAUUUGGGAAGACUCUCAUAUUUUCUGGGUAUAGAAGUAUCUUAUGCUGAGAAUAACAUUUACUUAUCUCAAAGAAAAUAUGUUAGAGACCUGCUAAGUAAAGCUGAUAUGCUUCACUGCAAAGGGUGUGAUACACCAAUGGUUACAGGGACAAAACUUCAAAAGGAAGCUAAGGGAUCUUUGGGUCAGCAUGUUGAAGAUGCAACAAGUUAUAGAAGUUUAAUUGGAGGGCUGCAGUAUUUGGUUCUGACCAGGCCAGAGAUAGCUUUUGCAGUGAACAAGCUAAGCCAAUAUGUUUAUACACCUACACUACAACAUAUCCUAGCCUGUAAGAGAAUGCUUAGAUAUUUGAAAGAGACAGAAGACUAUGGAUUAAAGUUUUCAGCUGAUGGAGAAAUAAAGUUAACAGGUUUCACAGAUGCAGAUUGGGCAUGUGAUAUUGAUGAUAGGAAAUCAACAGGUGCAUACUGUAUUUACUUGGGAAAUAACUUGAUCUCUUGGUCAUCCAAGAAGCAAUCCAUAGUUACAAAGUCAAGUGCAGAGAGUGAGUACAGAGCUCUUGCUUCUGCAAGUGCAGAAAUUACAUGGUUACAGUCAUUGUUCAAGGAACUCAAGAUUGAAUGUAUUUCAGUGCCCACAAUCUGGUGUGACAAUAUAAGUGCAACUGAGCUGGCCAAAAAUCCUGUCUACCACUCGAGAACCAAACACAUUGAAUUGGACAUGCACUUUAUAAGAGACAAAGUGUUAGCAAGAGAGCUGGAAAUCAAUUACAUUCCCAGUGAAGAACAGAUUGCAGACAUCUUGACCAAGCCUCUCACAUUCACUCAAUUCAAUUAUCUCAGGAGCAAACUUAAUGUGCAGCCAUGCCCCUUAAGUUUGAGGGGGGCUGUUAAGGAAGCUCAUUGAGCACGUGUGUCAAUGAUGAGUCAGCAGUUAGUUGGGUAAAGAAGCCAGCUCAGCAAAUCUGUUAAUCAUGUUUUACGUUCUGUUCUUCAGUUGUUAGUAAUGCUUUUAAUUCUGUUGAGAUAUGAGUUAGUAUAAAUAUGUUGUUAUUGUAUUUGUAAUUGUGAACGUGAGAUUCAAUAAAAAAUAAGUAGUUUCUAAGGAAAAAUCUUAUCAUUAUUUUCUUAGCUUCCAAACAACUUUUACAGUCACAAUUCAACUUUCAAACAAUUUGGGAUUUGACAAUUCCACUCUCAUCUUAAUUAUCAAAUGGAAUGUAAGUAGAGAUAAACUUGUCCUGUUUAUAUAUUUGUGAUCAAAAUUAGGACCAAUAUAAAAAAUAUUAGGGUCCGACUAUCUAUACUUUAAAAAUCAUUAUGAACACUUAAUUAUUUAUGUACUCAGCUAAUAAAUUUAAAAAAUUAAGUUUUACUUUCCACACUUUUUUUAGGAGUACUUUCUACACUUUUUAAAAUAACAAAAACAUCUUUACAUGAACUUAAUAAGUUUCUUUAAAAAAAUUAAAUCAACUAUUUUUAUUUAUUCAAAAUACUAAUAAAAAUAUUUAGCAGACCGUGAAAGAAAAUUUUUAAGAAAUUUAACACGAUUUUAGUUAUUACUUAUUGUUUAUUAAAGAAUGUGUUCACUAUUGUAUUUAAUUUUGUUAGUAAAAAAAAAAAGAAGAAGUUUGGGUUUAAGAUACAUUUAAUUUUUAGUGUAACAGUUGUAUCAAAACAAUAAAAACUAAAAGAUCCAAAAGUCACAAGUUCCAACACCACCCAAAUAAAAAGGUCUGUUAAGAUUAUUUUUGGGAAGCUCAAAAGUGAUUUUAAAAAUUUAAAACUAAUUUUUAGUGUUUUAUAAAUUUUUUAGUAAUUACUUUUGGCAAAAUCAUCUCAUUGUACAGUAGAUUUUGAAAAAGUAGGGAAUGAAUAAUUUUUCAAAAUAUGAUUUUGAGAAUCACUUUUAUAUUUAAUCAAAUUCUAUAUAUAUAUACUCAUUAUAUAAUAAAAAUUCAAAAUUAUCUUUAUUAAUUAAGAAAUAAAAUGAUUAACUUUAAAGAGAUUAUUAUUAUUACCAAUUAUAUUGAGAUAAAAAAAUAGAGAAUAAAAUUUAAUAAUAUAAAAUAUUUAUUUUAGUUAUCAAUAAUUAUAUGUACAAUAAAAAUAUUUUAUAUACAUGUUUAUAAAUGUGUAAAUAAAUUUUAUUUAACAUUAUGUCCAAUUCAGUCAUUUACAUUUUUGGUCCAAUUUAACAAUAAGAUUUACGAAAUAUAUACGACGCUUUUAAAACUAAAAGUAUUUUUAAAAAUAAAUUUUACUAAAUGUUCAGCUGAUUCUCUUGACGAUUGAUCAAUUUCUACAGCAUAGCUAACUGUAAUUAUUUUAAAGGCUACAGGAUUACCAAACUGACCCUAAAUCAAACCAAUAAAAAUGUUUAAAAAUAAUAAUAAUAAACCAAAGUAAACGUACAAAAAUUCAUGCAUAAAUUGAUAAUCAACAAAAACAUCCACAAGUUUACCUCCAAGUUUUCUAUUCAAUUGACAUAACCCUUAAAUUUCAAAAGGCAUAAUCAAUUUUUGUCUAAUCCUAUAAAAUUAGAAAAUUAAAGAAUAUUAUGUACUGAUAAUUAAAUAAUAUGCAAUUAACAAUGUUAAAAAAAAUAAUGUUAAACAUAUUGUCAACUAAAACAAUUGGGAUUAACGAGCUGCUAUUGAAAUUAAUGUUAAAAAAAAUAAUGUUAAACAUAUUGUCAACUAAAACAAGCAUCAUGUGCAGUACCCACCGUGAUCUACUCACAUUGGAAUAAGUUGUUGGCAGCUGGUAAAAAAUUCAAUGUUGAUUUUGAUCCCACUAAAUUAAGUCAUCAAAAAUUGCUGGGAAGGGAGUAAUAUCUAUUUAUAACUGGAAAUUAGUCACCGUACAAAGAUGAUUGGAGCUGCAUAUAUCGUUUAUUAUUAACAACUAACUUAUGAAAUGCUUUGAAUGUACCUCCUAGGUCGUAUUAUUUACUAUACUAGUUAGGAGAAAUUGCAAUGUUAAAUUAUUUGAUAAAUACUUAUUAUAAUUUGAAAAUAUGUUAAUUUUGUCCUCCAUUUAUGAUAAAAAAUUUUGUAAUAUAUAUAAAUCAUUCAUUCUAUAAUCUUGAACUUUAUUAAAGUUCGAAAAACUAUUACUCUAUAUGAUAUAAUAGUGUGAUGUUAUUACACUAUUAUACCAUAUAAAAUAUAUUUGCUUUCUCAAAUUUUAAUAAAGUCUAGGUCUUGGACAGAAGCACUUUAUAUAUGUAUAUAUAAUGAUUCUCUAGUAACGACAUUCUCAUUUUAACAAAGUAAUGAUAUCACUAACAAACUAAAUAACACAUAUUUCAAUACACCAAUAGAUUAAAAAAAAUACAAUUUUUAAUGUGUUAAAAUAUAGGUCUUUUGUAUGUUAUUGAUAUUUUCACUUUAACAAAGUGAGGGUCUCCUCACUAUAAAAGUAAUUUAUAAAUAUUCCUUGUAUUUUUGUGAAAAUUAUUAUUUAAAUGUCAUAUCUUACCAAAAACUAUUAGUUUUUAUUUUAUUACUACGCUAUACUUUUCAAGAUAGAACACCUUAAUACCAUGACCUUAAUUUUUGAACCCUCUUGUACAAAGUUGUUGGCUGGUCUAUUUAGCUUAAUCUUUCAAUUAUUUGUCGUUUGAACUGAGAUGAUCCGAAUAAGGCUAUGUAUCAAUAAUUUCUUAGUGAAACUUCGGGAAAAAAUAAAAAUCAUCUCAUACAGUAGCAUUAUUUUAAUUCUCAGCUUGAUUAUGUUUUGAGUUAACUUAUAGAUUAUUUGAAAUGAAAAUAAUAUAAUUUAUUUUUUCCAACUGAAAUUUUUAAAUAAUUUUAUUAGUUUGAUGAGUAAGUAUACACUUACAAAGUUAUGAUAUAAAAUUAUAUCCCAGAAUCCCAAUAAUAUGACACCAAUUAACUAUUGCUAUGUGUUUCUUAGUAAUUAACUUUUUAUACUAUUAUUAAUGAGAUAAUUAACUUCAACACCAAUAAACAAUUAAUACAUCCUCUAACUUUAUUAUCAAAUAAUCAUACGUCAUAAUCAAACCAAGUUACCAGAGCCUACCACUAAAAGAUUGAUUGAAGGGUUUUCCAAGUUUGAAAAUGUUAGUAGCAUUGGCAAAUGGCAACUUCCAGGAAUCUUCCUGCUACAAUCAAUCAUUUAGUGAAAUGCCCAAAUGACACAAAGGACCCCGCCAACCGUGAAGUCACAUCAUUUAUUUAUUUGUAAAUGAAAAAUAAGGUUCCGAUCGGAAGAAAUCAGCACCUUAUAAUGCAUGAUUACCCGUAUGUCAAGUUUGGCGAUUAUAAGUCAUCAUCACAAUAACUUUGGAUUUUGAUAUUUAAGUCUCCGUUUGGGACCAAUGUAUGCCAAUUGGACAACACAUCACUCAAUUAUAGAGAGCGAAAUAUUGAUAUUGUCAUUAUUUUACGUAAUGUAUAAACUUUUCCUUUUAUUUUUGUUUGUUUAUUUAUUUUUAAUACCUAAUAAAUAUAAAUUUAUUUUUUAAUAUUUAAUAAAUUUUGUCAGAAAAUAACAAACAAUGACCCAAAUCCUUUUAUUUUACAGAAAUAAUUUCAAUUCACAACUAUGACAUUACAUUACCAAACAAACACUAAAUAUUUUGAUGAUUGGAGUUUAUCUUUCAUUCAUAGCAUGAAAAGUUUGAAAUAGAAUCUCAAAACAAAAGAGUACGACAUGUCUUGUUGGGUUUACAGAAGAAGUGUACGCCAUGUCAUCCGAAAACUAAAAGGCAUGUAUGACAACCAAACGGUAUCAUCCCUGAUUUGCCUACACUUUAAGGAUGAAUUCUGGGUUUUGAGUGACAAUUAAAAGCCAGAGUGAGAAUUAGAGAGAGAGUUAUAUAUUCUUAUUUAUUCCUAGUCACUUGCUAUAUUGUGUGGGUCUUUUGUGAUUCCAAUAAUAAAAAUGUUCAAUAUUUUUUUUGAUAGAGCAAUAUUUUUUAAAGCAUAAAGAAAGGCAGAAAUAUUGUAAAUCCAUCUCAAAUUUUCUGUUUAUUGUGGUUGCUGCUAGCGCUAGCUGUUUUCUUAUUUAACUUUGUUCCCUUUUGCCAUCAGCUCUUUGCAUUUUCAUUGGAUCAAGCGGCCCUUUUCUUGUUUCAAUUUUUUAUCUCAAAAGCACUUUGAUUCUCUUCUGUUACACUGAUUUUCUCCUUAUUUUGCACAAAUAUCGUUUCUCUUUCCCAUUUAGCCUUGAUUUGCUUCUACUUGACUACCAAUUGCCCAGUCGUUGACCCUGUUGUAUUUUUAUUUCAUUCACUUCCAAUAGACCAAAAAAAAAAAAGAGAUGUUGAAUAAAAGCUUAAAAACUAAUUUGAUUUUUAAUAUGAUUUAGCUAAGAUGUCCAAUUUAAUACUAAGAGUAAUGUUAAGGAUCCUAAUAAUUGAGUCCCAACUGAUAUGGUAGUCAUUUAUUAGAUGAUGGAAAUAUAAAUUUUAUUAGUUGUGAAAUUCAUUAUUCAAUAAAAAAAUAACACAUAACAAUUAGGUCUCAAGUUAGUAUUUUACUAUUGGAAUUCCUAACAUUAUUCUAAUAUUAAAAAAUUCAUCAAAAUAAUAUCCGUUGAUGCUGAAAUCUAGUCGCCUUUGGACCGACCAGAUUGGUUCACCAACGCUUGUAUUGACAAAGGAAUAGAGGCUGCGAUCCAUUAGCUUCAACAAUUUCCCGAGCUUCUGGGACCCAAAUCACCCGUCUUCUUCCUUCCAGGCCUAUGUUCACAUAAACAAAUCAGAGAAGCCGGUGGUUUUUUGGGCAUAAACCCUUCGAUACUUAAGUUAGUACAAGGUGUUUACGAGAAAAGUUAAUGAUUUGUGUUGUACAUAUUAGUUGCAAUAUUCUCAAUACCAAAUGUAUCAAGGAUUUGGAUAUUUGAAUUUCUGAUUAUAAUUUGACAGAGUUUCCCCUUUACUCUCAAUUUGUGUCUCCCCCUUUUCAUUGAUUUCUUGGCCUUUUAUAGGCAAUCAUCCCAUGUUUUCUGAGUAUUAUUCAUGCCCCUCAUUUUCGGGUGAUGACGGACCUUCAUGGGUCUCCAACCACCGAAUCGUGGGUAAACGUGGGGCGUCAUGUUCUCCCCAACGGUUUGGGGCAUGACAAAACUGUCGUGAGUUUGUGAGAUCGUGUCCUCUUUCUUUGAAUAAUGAGUACUUGGUCGAUAUGUACAUCUGGUCGGUACUCGUUUCUAGUCGGCAUAUGCCCCGUACAGGAUGUAUUACCAGGAAUCUGCUCGUGCCAUUCAUCUGGGGAGAUUCGCCCCAGGGUGAGGGAAGAGGGGAUAGCUGAGCUGGUACUUUUCAUUACUCAACAAUAUCUAUUAUCUAAAAAAAUAAAAUAAAAAUCUAAAACCAUAGAUUUACUUUUCAAUCUUCGUGAUUUGACUGAUUUCUUUUAAAGCUUUGGUUUCUUUAGAAGUGCAAGGAGAAAUAGUAAUAAGAUUAAAAAAGCAAUGAAGUAAAACUUUAAAAUUUUUGUUUCUUUAUAUUUUUAUCGGUCAUUUUACCGGUACUGGCGUUUGAUUUUCUGACUAAGCUACUGUUUAGUUCUAAGUUUUGGCAAUUACCCGGACUGCUCUCUUUCGUGUAACAUCGACACAAUGAGGCUUUGCAUCUAAAAGUCGGCAGCCACGCAACUUCUUGGAAUCUUCGUGCAAGUGUUGGAUAUCGACCGUUCGAUAAUGACGGCAGCAUUGUUCUGGAGUGUAAUUGACGCAGUGGAAUAAGGAUCACAUGUCUCAAACUUUCGGUGAAGAUAUUGUUAGAUAUUUUAUUGAUUAAGGAUCAUUCUUUGCACUCAUUCUCAAUCAAGAAACGCAUAUGCUUUUGUUCAUUGUAGUCACUGCUGUUUUGUUAUUAAUCUUUGCUCCCUUUUGCUGUCAACUCUCUUGAAUUUCACUGGAUCAACUUUUCUCUUGGCAUCUGCUUUGUUGUAAUCUCCAGUCUUUGUUAAUUAGUCUCUCCGCUCGCAAUCCAGUUGUUGAACUAGAAACCUUUUCCUUGUUUCCAUCUUCUCAGCAGAUCCAUAACAGCUAUUACGAUUUCUUUCAUUUCUCCUCGUCCACAACCAGAUAAACUGUCCAUCUUUGCGUUUCUUUUUCUUUUUCUCCUCACUCUCUCUGUGUUUCGCUCAUUGUUUAUUUUCUUGUCAGAAACUUCGAAAAAAAGAAAAGGGAUUCAGGAUGGUGGAAAGCAUUGUUACUAUUGUUUUAGAAUUUGUGAAAUGCUUGGCUCCUCCAACAGAACGCCGACUUGGUUAUUUGCGUACUAUAAAGCCAACGUUGAGAAACUCGAGGCAGAAAUAGACAAGCUCAAGGAUGAAAGGAGAAGCAUUCAGCACAGGGUUUCUGAGGCUGAAAGAAAAGGGGAAAAUAUUGAAGAGAAGGUUGAGAAGUGGCUGGUUAGUGCGAACAUCAUCAUUGAGCAGGCAGCCAAAUUCAUUGAUGAUGAGAAGACAACAAAUAAACGAUGUCUCAUGGGCUUGUGUCCUAAUUUGAAGACCCGCUAUCAGCUUAGCAAGAAAGCAGAAACAAAGGUGAAGGCCAUUGUUAAACUCCGAGAAGAAGCUGGGAGAUUUGUUGAUGGAAUUUCCUACCGUACCAUUCCGGAGGAUAUAUGGCUCAAGUCUCACAAAGGCUACGAAGCCUUCGAAUCAAGACUUUCUACUUUAAAGGCCAUACAAAAUGCAUUGAUCGAUGUUGAUGUCAGCAUCAUUGGGGUGUACGGCAUGGGCGGCAUUGGAAAGACGACACUGGUGAAGGAGUUUGCAAGGCGAGCCAUUGAAGACAAGCUUUACGAUAUGGUGGUUUUUUCGGAGGUUACCCAAUGUCCAGACAUAAGAAAGAUCCAAGAGGAAAUUGCGGAAACGUUAGGCCUAGAGUUGUCCGAGGAAGCUGAGUCUAGAAGAGCUAGUAGACUAUAUGAAAGAUUGAAGAAUGAGAAGAAGAUCCUUGUGAUUCUCUAUAACAUGUGGAAACCUCUUGAUUUGGGGACUAUUGGCAUUCCUUUUGGAGUUGAGCACAGAGGAUGUAAAUUAUUAUUCACAACAAGAGAUCUUGAUGUGCUGUUAAGGAUGGGAUCUGAAAAAAACUUCUCGAUUGGCAUUUUAAAUGAACAAGAAGCCUGGAGAUUGUUCAAGAUAAUGGCUGGUGAUUAUGUUGAAAAUCGUGAGUUAAAAUCUGCAGCAACAAGUGUAGCCAAGGCAUGCGGAGGUUUGCCUAUUGCCCUAACCACAGUAGCAAAGGCACUGAGAAAAAAAGAGCUGCCUGUGUGGAAGAAUGCCUUGCAAGAACUCCAAACGCCUUCAGAGGCAAGCUUCGACGAAGGAGUACCAGCAGAGGCAUACUCAACAAUUGAGCUGAGUUACAAGUACUUAAGAGGUGAGCAACUCAAGAAAACUUUUUUACUGUGUAGUCUUAUUACGCCAGCACCAAUUAUGGAUUUGUUCAAAUACAGCAUGGGCUUGGGUGUAUUUAAAAGUGUCCAUAAGCUAGAAGAUGCACAUAACAAAUUACAUGCAUGGGUCCAUCAACUAAGAGACUCUUGUUUGUUGCUUGAGGAUGGUGGCAGUAAAUACAUUUCUAUGCACGAUGUUGUUCGCGAUGUUGCCAUUUCAAUUGCAUUUCGUGACAUGAAUGCAUUUGUGGUGAGAAAUGAGGAUGAUUGGAAAUGGCCAAAUGCAGAUGAAUUAAAAAAAUAUUUUGCAAUUUCUUUUAAAGAUAGUAUUGUUAAUGACAUUCCUGAAGGGUCGGAAUCUCUACAACUUGAACUUCUAUUCAUGUCUCCCAAGAACUCUUUUGCUGUGCCUAAUAUUCCUGAGAACUUCUUCAAAAGGACGAAAAAGCUUCGGGUUUUGGAUUUGACUAGAAUGCGGUUAUUGUCAUUGCCAUCUUCAAUUGGUCUUCUAGUAAAUCUUCAGACACUUUGUCUUAAUCAAAGCAUUUUGGGAGGCAUAGACAUAGCCAUUAUUGGAAAGUUGGAAAAUCUAGAAAUCCUUAGCUUUUUGCAAUCUGAUAUUGUAGAGUUGCCUAAAGCACUGGGUCAACUGACUAAGCUAAGGCUGUUAGAUUUAACAGACUGCUUCCGUCUGAAAGUUAUUGCCCCAAAUGUCAUAUCGAGCUUAAUCCGAUUAGAAGAAUUGUAUAUGGGUAAUUGCUUCAUUGAAUGGGAGGUUGAAAGAGCCAACAGCAAAAGAAGUAAUGCUAGCCUUGACGAAUUGAUGCAUUUACCUCGGCUAACUACUCUAGAAAUUGAUGUUAAAAAUGAGAGUAUGUUACCAGAAGGCUUUUUGGCCAGAAAGCUCGAAAGGUUCAAAAUACAUAUUGGAAAUGGGUUAUUCAUGCAUCCCAUGCUUUUUGGACAACAUUGGUUUAAAAGUCAGCUGCACUUUUUGAUCGACAGUAAUCGCAAGAUUUCAAGAGAAUUGGAGCUCAAGCUUGAUUUUAUGGACAUUUGCUCCAUGAAAUUGCAAGGCAUCAAUAACGUUGAAUACUUACGGUUGGACAAGCUGCAAGGCAUCGAGAAUGUUCUUUUCAAUUUGGACACGGAGGGCUUUUCACAAUUGAAGGUCCUCUGGCUUCAAAAUAAUCCUGACUUCUUUUGUAUCGUCGAUUCAAGGGAGAUGGUCGCUUGUGAUGCCUUUCCUCUGUUGGAGUCACUUGCCCUUCACAAUUUGAUCAACAUGGAGAGGAUAUGUAUUGAUCGGCUCAAAGUAGAGUCUUUCAACGAACUCAAAAACAUAGAAGUAUAUAAUUGUGAUAAGUUGAGUAAUAUCUUUUGGCUCUACUACAAAAUGCCUUCCAAGACUUGAGAGAAUUGCAGUUAUUAAUUGCAGCAAAAUGAAAGAGAUUUUUGCAAUUGGGGAAGAAGUUGAUAAUGCAAUUGAGAAGAUAGAGUUUGCUCAAUUAAGAUCUUUGAGUCUGGGGAAUCUUCCAGAGGUUACAAGUUUUUGCCGUGAGGUGGAGACUCCUUCAGCAUCACCGAACAGACAAGUGUCGCAAGAGGAAUCGACGACUAUGUAUUGCUCCAGCGAAAUCACUUUGGAUAUUUCAACUUUGCUUUUCAAUGAGAAGGUGCGUAGGCUAACAUUUUAUUCAUAUAUAUAUAUAACAGAGUUUAUUCUAUCAUGCGUUCUCUUAUGUCAAACGUGGAAAAUAAUUAAAUCAUUUAGAGAAUUGAAAGAAAAUGAAAACAAUGAGGAAAAAAAUAAUCUCACGCACUCACUAAUUGAGCUCUUAACAGGUAGUAUGAAUUAGAAUGUUAAUUUGUAAUCAAAGAGAAAUUUUCAACAAGAAAUUCUUAUCUUUUUAGGUUGCGUUGCGUAACUUGGAGGCUUUGGAGAUAUCUGAAAUUAAUGUCGACAAGAUUUGGCACUACAAUCAAAUUCCAGCGGCAGUGUUUCCUCACUUUCAAAGUUUAACACGAUUGAUUGUGUGGGGUUGUCACAAAUUAAAAUACAUAUUUUCAGCGUCUAUGAUCGGAAGCCUUAAGCAGCUCCAACGCCUAGAAAUACGCUCCUGUGAGGAUUUACAGGAGAUCAUCUCUGAAAACAGAGCAGAUCAAGUGAUCCCUUAUUUUGUCUUUCCACAGCUCACCACUUUGAUACUCCAUGAUCUACCAAAACUUAGAUGUUUGUACCCUGGAAUGCAUACUUCGGAAUGGCCCGCCCUAGAAAUUCUUUUAGUGUAUCGUUGUGACAGAUUAAAGAUAUUUGCGGCAGAUUUAUCGCAGAAUAAUGGGAAUGAUCAACUUGGUAUUCCUGCACAACAGCCCCUAUUGCCAUUGGAAAAGGUAUGAAGCCAUUUUCUAGAUUUUUUAUCUAUAGCUUAUUUUUAACUUUGAAAAAUAUGACAAAGUAUUGAUAAAUUAAUGCUCAAUAAAUUGAAAACUUUUAUUAUACAAUAAUCUUUGCUAGUCUAGACUAAGGGAUCAAUGUGGUAGAUUAAUGAUUAUAUAAACUUUUUUAGGUAUAGCAUUUGUAAAAGAAUCUUGAGUCUUUCCAUAUAGAAGAACUUACAAAAUAAAUUAGUAAUUUAUUAUUGUGCAGUAAAAUAAUUUCGAGUCAGUAUAAAUCAACCUUUUUUCCCUAAUUUCUUUUUUACCUCUAAAAUUAACAUAUAAAAAAUCAUUUAAUAAAUUUUAUCAAUAAUUCAAUUUUUUUAAAUAUAAUAUAAAACAAAUACUAUAAACUCACUGCUUAUGAUUGGAUUACUCAAAAUCAUUUGAGAAAACAUCAAUUGACCUUAUUAGUUAUUAUGAUUGAUGAUGAUCAGAUCUUACCCAACUUGACGGAACUAUCACUAUGCGGAAAAGACGUGAAGAUGAUUUUGCAGGCCGAUUUCCCACAACACCUUUUUGGCAGUCUUAGAGAUCUAGGGAUUGCUGCUGAUGACUCAGCUUGUUUUCCAAUCUGGAAUGUACUGGAGAGAUUUCACAAUCUCGAAAUGCUCGUACUGUGUUAUUUUUCAUUCCACGAAGAGGUAUUUUCGAUGGAAGGAUGCUUAGAGAAACAUGUGGGGAAGUUGGCAAUGAUAAAAGAAUUAGAGCUGUACCGGCACUAUCAUCUGAAGCAGCUGUGCAAACAAGACACCAAAUUUGGCCCCAUCUUUCAGUAUCUUGAAAUUCUAAGAGUAUAUCAUUGUCAAAGUCUGUUAAUUCUAUUGCAAUCAUCAUCGGUAUCUUUUGGGAACCUAACAAAACUUGUAGCUUUCGAUUGCAAGAAAUUGAUACACUUAGUAACAUCCUCCACAGCAAAAACUCUAGUGCGACUCGUAUCACUUUGUGUAUACGGAUGCAGAGCAAUGACAGAGGUGGUAAUAAAUGACAAAGACGGGGUUGAAAAAGAAGAGAUUGUUUUCCGCAAAUUGAAGAGGUUGGAACUGCGUGAUUUAGACAGCCUCACAAGUUUCUGCUCUGCCAAUUACACCUUCAAAUUCCCAUCUUUGCAAGAUCUAUCUGUGAUUGGUUGUCCCAAAUUCAAGAUUUUCACUACAGGAGAAUCAAGCACGCCUCCGAGAGUAAACGUCUGGUAUGGAGAGACAUCGAAUCAACGGCGUUGGGCUAGUAAUGAUCUUAACACGACCAUACAACAAUUACAUGCUGAGAAGGUACGGAUAUACGUGUUACUCUCUAUCUCCCAUGGAAAAAUUUUACAAAAUUUGCUUUUUCU